GAUACUUAAGGACCGUCAACAAACUCCCCCAAGCUUACCUCUUGCUCGUCCCUGAGCAAGGAUAGACUCAGCUAUGGAUCAUAAAUUGUUGCAAUAUUUUUAAAAAUUGAUGUACACAUGCUUUUUAAAUAAGAUCUCAUCUCUGAGUUAGAGUAAACUGUCAAGACUUAAAACUUACUUACUUUACCUUUCACCAUGGGACUUGUAACCGUCACUUCUGUCUUGAGUGGUUAAAAGAUAGAACAGUCUAGCCAAGUGCCAUGUCUCUUAUUCUUGAUCAGCUAUAGCUCUAGAGUUUUUGCAGAUUUUCAAAUAAAACUCAGAGAUUCCUUGUAUGAUUCUCUCAGAUCUCUCUUUUGUGGUAUUUUUGGAUCCUUACCAAGGCAGUAAUGGGAUAUGCCUUCUCUCAAUAUAUGUAGUAUUUGUGGUAUGAAGCAUAGUGACAUUGUCUUCUCUCUCACCCUACUCUAAUAAGGCUUUAAUAUCUGGAGCUCAUAGGUGGGAGAUAAAGUAUACAUACUUACAAGACAUUUAUUGCAUAGUCAAACCAUGGAUCUAAAGAAACAAAUCAAUAAGCCAAAUCAAGAUGUGCAUGUGUGGCGAAUGAAUGGUGUAUGGUGAUGAUGGUGAUAACAAUGGUGGUGGAAGUCUAAUUCUACUUUGCUCUUUGAGGGGAUACAUACCUUCCUUGCUUUUGAAACUUUAUGAGGAGAAUGAGAUGCUCUUCUUUUUUUUUCUCAGGUGGGUAUCUUGCACCCCUAAUUCUACUGUCGGACACUUGUCCAUUUUUACCUCUCGUCUCACUUUUUCUUUUCUUUCGAGGUUCCGAGCACUUGCUCCUUUUUAUUUCCUCGUAUCUCUUUUUUUUCUUUUCUUUCUUUUUUUUAGAGCACUCAUCUCCUGAAAUAAUAUAGCAAGUGGUAGUAACCAGGAUAACUCGAGCAUUUAUUUCACAGGGAAUAACAGGGAUAGGAUAAUAUUUUUGGAUAUUCUCUCCUGGAUUAGGAGUAGAAUAAUUUUUGGGUGAAUGUGGAGAUGGAAAUGAGUGGAUAUAUUUGGAUGGUACUUCCGGAGUAGAAGUAGCAUGUAUGAGUGAACGUGCAAGUGAAUCUUGAUUUAACCAUAUGACAAGCUCCUAAGGGUCUACACAGCUUGACCACACUCAAUGCUCAUAAGCAGAAAAAAGUAAAUAUGUGGCUCAAAGUCUAGCAAGCAUGUAUAUAUGGCUGUGGUAGGAAUUUAAACUCUCAUCAUAUAGGAACUCAUCAUGUGUUAUUUUAAAGAUUUUUAAAGAUAAAAUUCUCCAGAAUUCUAGCAUCUCUAGGAACAGAUAAACAGCAGCUCAACCUUCCCAUAUCGUAUCCGUUAACAACUUAGACUUCAGAUCAAGUUUUUAUCCCACAAGUUUAGGUCUAGAGCAAGCCUUAAAUUAUAACAGUUAUAUCUAAACUCGAGAGAGAACUUCAAAUUUGCAAAUUAGGCAGAGCAACUAUUCAUCAUAUCCAUGCUUAAGUUUUAUUAUUAAGAUUCAGAUUAGCAUAGCCACUUUAUUAAACACACUAAGCAAAAUAUAUAUAAGCAUAAAAUCUUUAUUUGGUUUUUUAUAGUUAUGUGUAUUUAUAUUCUAAUAUAGUAUAAGUAUAAAGAUAGAUAGAAAUACUUAUCGUGAUAAAUGGGGGUGCUCUCCCCCAAGCUGAAUUUUGACGUAAUUUCUCUUGAUGUAGCUAGCACGUGGCAGAGGUGUGUUUGAAAGUCAGCAGUAUUUUGACAGCGAUUAGAAUGUCCUCCGUCUGCUAGUCUUCUUGAUUCUUAAAUUCUGUGGAGCUCAAAUAGACAACAAAGCUUGUGGAACUGAUUAAGUGUUAGCAUAAAUAUCUAGCCUGUAUCAUGUUGAGACUCCUUAAUAAAUAUUACUCCCUGUUUUUAUAUUUUUGUUUUUAUAAAGUAGAAAAAUAUUUAUUUUAUUUUUAUGCCACCACAGUGAAUGUACUUAUGGGUUUUAUGCCACUCGUCUACUCACAUGGGGCUUACAGUUUUUUUUUCACAUUUUUAUUUUCUUUCUAGGAUAAUACGAACAUGAUUAACUAAGUAAACUAUUUGAAAUAAUUAAAAGGGAAAGGAUAACUACCAAGUUUACCUCUUGGCAAGGCGUUCGGUGUUUUUAAGUCCUCCGAAUGGGACUCCUUGUGUUUUCAGUCAUCCUGGGAUUCGCUAGGUGGCGUAGUCGGUGAUUCCGGUGGCGCCUCCUCUUUGUGUAUAACUAUGUUCUCUUUCCACACCUGACUCGGUGCUACGGUCUCCUCAGGACAGUUCUGUUCAAGUUGUAUGUCUUCAGUCCUUAUCACUUCUCCUUCGUAGUCUACCCAUCCGUCCUUGAUGAUUUUACUCCUCUGGUUGCGGUUGCGUUGUCUUCUUCUUGUCCUGACCUGCUUAGAGUCUUCAACUAUAUAGUUAGGGUCAAUAAAAUAGCGGCGUACCUUCUUAGAGGGGAAGUGCAUGUGGACUUCUCCGGUUCCAAUGUAGAUGAUAACUUUGAUAGUGUUGAUGAACGGUCUUCUAAGGAUGGUGGGUGGAUCAUACUCGUCUUCUCCCAUGUCAAUGACCUGAAAAUCAUCUGGAGCUGAAUAUAUUGGUUGUAGGGGCAUGGUUCCAUGCAAGAGCUGAUAAGUGACUACGGCCAUUAUGUUGUCGUCAGAUCCGGUGUCGUAGAGUGUCUUCUAAAAAGAGUAUCCAUUGUUUGUGCAUUUGAUUCUUGGAACACCAGGGUCGUCCUUCUUGAUCAAGAAAGGUGACUUGUGUCGACGAUCUUGACCUCCUUGAACUGCAGUGACCAUCUUAGCUGACUCUAUCCACAUUUGCUUGUUCUUGUUUCCUCCUGUUGGUCCUCUUUCUUGGUUGAUGUCAGGGUUGCUCUGAAGUUUGUGUCGUCUUGUUCUUGAAGGAAAGUCUCCUUCUUCCCCUUGAUGUAGAGACUGAUCUUGGCAGCAUUAGCGUAGAUGACAGCUCUGGUGUUUAGGAAUGGCCUCCCUAAGAUGAUGGGUGCCCUCUCCUCAGUGCCAGUCUCUAUCACCACGAAGUUUGCUGGAGUGUGCAAGGUACCAACUCGGACAUAGAGGUUCUUCAAUAUUUCCUUUGGGAAACUAAGUGUCUGAUCUCCAUUGUGUUUGUGCUCGUAGAUCCCGGUUCUUCACUUGAUGGAAUCUGGGAGUUGUAAAACGCCUUCACGUUUCUCAAAAUGUGUCCUGCUCAUAGAGACAAGGCAGAGAUCAAGUGCAUGGGCCCUGUUGGUGGAAAACACCAACAGAACCAAAAGUGUAUUUGUUCUUCUCUAACCUUAAGCAUAGUGAGCAAGACAAAGUUGAUGGAUCAUGAGUGUAGCAUUUAAAACAUUUGUUAGAUCAGAUGGCUCAACCUAAUGGAAAGAUAAUCUAUCUAUAUUUAUGUUUUGUUUAUAUCUUUCAAAGAUUGAAUGUGCAAUACUUUAGCUUAUAUGAUUAGGAGUGUGGGAUCACGAAGGUAGUACUAAGAACAAAGAUUAAAGGACUAAACAUGUUGAAUUAAUUGGGUUGGUAAAUUUGGAGUUAUAAAUCAUACAUGUUUGUCUCUUUAUUUAUGUGAAUGCCAGAACCAAGGAGAAGCUUAUAAAAGUGUUGGUCAAGUACCUUAAGAUGUUACCUUACUUGAAGAGUGAUGGUACAGUAUCACCUUGUGGAAGCUUUCCUUUCUUAGCGGUUGUGUAUCGUGUUUGUGGCACUCUCCAUGAAUCAUCUCUUUAUGAUGAAUGAGCUAUGUCCUUCUUGUGUAAAUUGUUAAACUUCAUGUGUCUCCUUUAUCUCCAAUGAGUUUGUAUCUCAGGACUUCCCAGGUUGAUAUUGAAAGUUUUCCUGCAGGGGUUAGUCCAACAAAAUAUCCCAUAUCUACUAUAGCAUACUAUCGUCUCAAAAAUCAACCUAGACACCAUGUCUAAUUUGAUUUAGGAGGGCAUUUUAACCUAAGCACCAUGCUUAAUUUAAAAAUCCUUUGGAAGUGAGAUCAUCAUUCCUAAACUAAGCACCACGCUUGAUUUAAGAGAUAAAUGAAACUACUCCAAACCUAGACAUAUACUAAAGCAAAUAAAGGUAGCAUGAGAGCAUUUAUAGCGAUCUACUCAAGUGGAGGUGAAGUAGUGUAAUUAGUACUUAACAAAUUGAGCAUCUCUCAAAGGUAGGGACAACCAACGUAGCAACAUGGCAAAGGAUGUUUUUAUGUAAAGUACUCCCCCAAGCUUGAAUUUUGCAAAAUUCAAGUUUGGAUGAAUUUAAUUCAAUGUUGUGUGAUGGUUGGUUGGACAUACCUUGUGCUUGUUAUUCAUCCGAUCUUCUUGCUCCAAUCCUGGAAAGGUUAGUGACAAGAAUACCCGAAGGAAUAUUUCUACAAUAUGCUCAAUACACAAGGCAAUGUUGCAAAUAAGUGCUUGUUUUAGGACACUAAGCUUGUCCUUGGGAAACCAUCAAUUAACUCAACGAGAUCUGCAAUAUUUAUUAUAGACAUAUGCAUCGACAACCACUCUUUUAAAGUUUUUAUAAAUAGAAAAGAAGAGAGGGUUGGAUAUCUCAAAUGUGACAAGGAUGGAGAGACUAAUUGAUUGGAGAGAUGUUUUAUAUGAGCAAGGACUGGGUGAGGUAUUUAUGAAAUAACUUUCAUGCUCACUGUUGUUUCUCUCAUUCUCAAACUCCAAGGAUGUUUCUUCAUGAAUGUUUAAAAUUCCUCUAGGAUUGUCUCUCAAGUUUGUUUUAUCUAUCCAUUCAAUGGUGAUAGCACAUGGAUUUUUAAUGCCCUCUAGCCAUUGAUGCUGCUCUUCUCGAUCCUCCUUGUAGUCUUGGUGACUCUUAUGAAUGGGAUGUCUAGAUAGAUUCAUAGGAUUAUCGGGAGGUUCAAGAGAAAAAGCGUAGUAGAAAUUAUUAGGCUCAAGGAUGGGUUGGAUAGCCGAAUCAUGGGAUUGGAAUGUUUGGAAAUCGGCUAUUGAAACUUCCUUUCCUCGUCUGGGAGAUGAUUCCUUCUCUAUCUCUAUGAUUUUUCUAUGAAGACUAGUACAAGAAGGAUGUCCACAAAUGAAGACAUACCUUCCUUUACUAAUAGAUAAAGAAAGAAAGACUCUACCAAAGGUUAUAUGAUUAAGACCAAUGUGAAAAUAUCGAGAAAAAACAUGGUCUUGUAGGGCUAGGUCUAAACCAGAAUUUAUAAAAAGAUUAAUAGAUUCCCUAGGUGUAGCUAAAAGUGCAUUAUCUUUUUGAUUAAUAGAUAGGACCUCGGCUAUAGAAAAGGGUUGGUUUUGACCUAUUGCAAUCAACUCCGGACACAGAUCAUAAUUAGGGGCAGAACGUGUUGACUCCCAUGGUCUAUGGAUGGUCUCCGAAGGUGCAAAGAAUUCAAUAAUAGGUAUGGAAUUUAAGUUAUCCAUAAAGAUAAAAAUAAAAAGAUAAAAGAAUAAAAGUAUAAAAGUAUAAUACAAGAUAAUAGCAAGACUCAAAGUUAUCUCAGCAAACCGUCUUUCUCCCCGGCAACGGCGCCAGAAAUGCUUGUUGAUAUUUGGUAACGCAAUUAGAAAAUGAUCCGCAAGCGCACGGAUAUCGGUGAGCAUUUCACCCGGGAGGUUUUCCAGAGUAUCGUAUUUAUAUUUUUACCACUGGGAGAAAGGGUGCAUCUGACUAACCAAAUCUAUUGCUACUACCCCUUUAGGCUACAAAGAAUGUCUCUCGAUGUGAGUGAUGUAUAGAGAAGACUACAACCGUAGUCUCAUUCUAACCUUGGUAAGGAUAAUCUACUGUUCUAUUGGGGAGGCUCACGGAAUCUAGACAAUACAAAGGAUGUUCGACCCGCACCUAUAACCCUACCCGUCCUGCUAACGAGAUGUGAUCUACAAAGGUAACUCGGAAAUGUCACGUUCCUCGCUACUACCACGGUCCAGCUAGUCAGGGGAUAUCUAUGAGUACCCUAGCCUAAACACCACGUUUACGCUAACAAGUGAUUACUCUAAUACUCAACCGGAAGAGGAUUGAAGUAAACUCAUAAACCAAAGAACAAUAAAACAAGAACUUACUAGUAUUAGAUGUCGAAUUACUGAAGAAUCUUAGAAGCAAGCCUCGGGUUAGGAGACUUGAUCCCGUAGGUACAACUCGGAGUAGACACCGACAGGCCGGCCUUCCUCCGAUCCACACCUCCACUCUAUCUCUAUCAAUCUAGUAGAAACUAGAAGAUCUAUUUCUACUUUACAUUGGAUGCUAAGCCUAAAAAGAAAUAUUAUUUAGAGAAGAGGUUUUCCUUCGAGGGCACCCCUCAAUCUCUAUGAUAAUUUCUUGUCUUCUCCAGGGCCAGGGGGGCCUUGCUUAUAUAGUCCUCCCCUUCUAUGCGUUUUUGGGUCGAUAGGCGAGGUGGUACUAUGUCUUCCUUGAUCCAAUAGGUCGGUGGAACGUCGUGUGCGAAGAGAGUCCGGAACAGAGUCCAGAGGGGGGCGGGCGCGCAGGUCCUCAGGGCGGGCGCCCUGGGCCUGGCCCCUUUCGGGCUCCGCUUCCUUCCCGUGGCUUCCGGAGUCUUCUAGAUGGUAGAAAAUUGCGCGGUGGGUUGAUAUCUCUAUGUAAUCCCGACAUGUGGGCCUUUCUUCCUUAUUUCCUGAUAACCCCCUGCAGAAAUAGACAAACACCAAAACUCGUGGAAUUUUGUCAGAUAAAACCCUAAGUCUAGAUGUUGAUUUCAUUUGGAUCCUUUUCUUUGUUUAUUUGAUAAUUAAAUUUGAUACUUAAGGACCGUCAACAGCCACCACGAAGGUCGCCGGCGUUCUUCAAUCUCGUGUUUUUGGCCACCAAACUCCGAACCAAGCGCACGGGUCGAAAGAGGAGGGAGAGGCGAGCUCACCUACGCCGAAAACAAGGACGAAGAAGACGCGGGGACGGAGCAGUGCUCGGUAUGGCGGAAGACAACUCGGCGAGAUCUGAAACUCGAGAUUUACGAAGAUAGGGCACGGCUUGGAUGAUUUGGAUGUGAAAAGGGAGAUGCGGGGCGGCUCAGGGGCUUUAUAGGUGUCUUAUGCGGGAAGUAAUCCUGUCCAAAUCGGGAUUGAUUCGCUCAGAUUUCCUUCGGCGGUGUCCUGCUCAGGUACGCGCGUUGGGGAAGAAAAGAGGGAGGGAGAGGAGGCUGACACGCGGGACCCAUCUGGCGGUGAAGGGGGAGGUGGGACCCAGACGACGGUGAGAGAAGAGGCGGGUGGGAAGCUGGGUUGCUUGCCGGGCCGAGCGCAGGGUGGAAGGGGGAGUGGGCCGCGUGCGAGGGAGGGGGAAAAACAGGCCGGGGGUGGGUCUGGCUGGGUUUACCUUUUCUUUUUUUUUCCUUUUUUGUUUUAUUUUUCCUAUUUCUUCUUUGUUUUCUAAAGUCUUUUUGAAAAGAGAUUUUAAAUCCUUUUGGGAGAAAUACAAAAUACAUAGACAAAAAGCAAGCAAGCAAUUAAAUAAAUAAAUUAAUUCCAACAUGAAUGCACCACCAUGUUUCUAAACUUAUAAUAAAUUUUAAUUUUGACCAAAACUAUUUUAUUUACUAGAUUAAAUGCUCACCAAAAAUGCUUAAUUAAAUCAAAUUAAUUCCUAUUAAUUGAAAACAAAUUUUUGGGUGUUACAAAUUCUACCCCGUGUUGACGGUCCUUAAGUAUCAAAUUUAACUAUCAAAUAAACAAAGAAAAGGAUCCAAAUGAAAUCAACAUCAAGACUUAGGGUUUUAUCUGACAGAAUUCCACGAGUUUUGGUGUUUGUCUAUUUCUACAGGGGGUUAUCAGGAAAUAAGGAAGAAAGGCCCACACGUCGGGAUUACGUAAAGAUAUUAACGUGCCGCGCAAUUAUCUUACAUCUAGAAGACUCCAGAAGCCACGAGACCGAAGCGGAGGCGAAACGGGGCCAGAGACAGGGCGCCCGCCCUGUCCUACUGGGCGCCCGCCCACCUCCUGUGGCCAAUCACGCUCAAUCUCGCGGAUUAUGUUCCACCGACCUAAAGGAUCAAGAAUAACCGUUCAAUCAAUGUCGGUUUGAUCCGACGGCCCAGGUUCACUUGAGGGGACUAUAAAACCAGACCCCCUGGCCCCUGGAGGAGACAACCCCUUGAUCAUUAUUCAUUAUUCAUAGAAAGAGCAAAAGCUAGGGUUUAGAGAUGAGAGCUCUCCUCUCUUCUCUAAACUAGAGUAGAUCUAGAUAGUAGCGAGAUGGAGAGCGAAGGAGGAUUAGAGGAGAGGCCGGCCUGUCGGUUCUUCCUCCGGUUGUACUUCGCCAUGAUCAAGCUCUAAUCAAGCUUGCUCAUGGGAUGACUCUGGUAAUCUACUUCUAAUUCAUUAUGCAAUUACUAAUCAUGUAUGUUCUAGUUCACAACUCUUUUGAGUACUUCUAAUCUAUAGGACCCUAUAGGUUAGAGUUGUAGUAUAGGUGUAAGCGUGGUGCUUAGACCUAGAUUACUUGUGGAUAUCCCCUGACUAGCUGGAUCGUGUGGUAGGCCGCGUAGGUGACAGUUACGUUGGUCCCCUGUAGUCCACCUCUUGUUAGCAGGACGGGUAGGGUUUAUCGGCCUAUGGAUAAGCAUCCUUUGUGGUGUACUCUUAUCACAUGGUUCGUCCCAGACAUAGACAUACCCCUUUGAAGUAGAGAAACCAUAGUUAUCCUCUCUAUUCUGCUACCAUCGCCUAUAUACUAGAAUUGCUCUACUCUCUAUUCCCAUAUUAUCACUCACUGUUAUCUUACCUUUAAUAUUGUUCUUAUUCGAUUCUACUAUCUUUCCUAUUCACACCAAUUUACUUAUCUUGGUUAAGUUAGAGCGUAGAUCAGUUCUUCCGUUUCCCUGUGGAUACGAUAAAACCUUUAACCGGGUAAAAGCUUCAACGGUAUCCGUGCGCUUGCGGAUUAUCUGUGUGCGUAUAAAUACCAUAGUACACUCUAGUGCCACGCUGCGGAUGACAACCUAGUAUUCAAGUGGUGUUAGCAAGUGUCAACAAGCAUUUUUGGCGCCGUUGCCGGGGAAACGGUUGCUGAGUUGACUACGAACUAGUUUAAUCAUUUUAUAAAAAAUAAAUAAAUAAAUAAAUAAAUAUAUUUUCCUUUUAUCCUUUGCCUCAUCUCUGCUAUUCUUUCUUCUUAUCUAAUCCUUGAUCUCUGGUCUAUUAUGAAUUCAAAUAUGUCUAUCUAUGAAUUUCAUUUCAGAAGAAGUUCUUUGCCCAAAACUUUCGAUUCCAGAAGAAGUUCUUCUAAUUCACUUUUUUGAGGGCCUUAGUAGGAAAAAUAAGCAAACCCUUCAUGCGGCCUCUAGAGGAUCUUUCCACCACCUAUCCGCUAGUAAAGCUUGGAAUUUGAUUGAUUUAAUGAGCGGAAAGUCUCCUAGCUUUUAUAUCCCUGAGAAAGAGACAGUACCAGUUCCUAGACAAGAAGAAGAAGUUUUGAUAGCCAGAUCACAACCACUUCAAUUCCAAACUUUAGCUAUCGAUCCUAAACCAUCAAUACCCCAAAAUUCUUCAAGGGAGGGAGGAAUUCCGAACUUAAAUCUUUCAGAUACUAAUGGUUUAGACUUUUAGUUCCAUAAGAGACCUUCAAGCAGGGAUAAUUCAAAUCCUCGCAAUAAUGGUUCUCUUAGAGAAUGUCCUGGUUCCUGUUAUGAAGAAGUCGAGGAUGACAUAUCAAGUGAAGGAGAGCUAAGCCAUAUUGAAAAUUCUAACACCUCCCCUUUCCUGAUUACAAGUUCUAAAUGGCUAGAAUGUGUAGAAUGGAUGGAUAAGGAAGAAGCCUUAAUGAAUUCUUACUUUGGAUCAAUUUCAAAUGGUGAGUUCUUGACUCCCUUUGAAGAUGGGAUUCAUCCAACUAUAGAAGAGGACAUAAGUGAGACCAAUCCAAGAGAAACUCUGAACAUUCAGAUUGGAGACGAAGAUAACAUUAAUGAGGAUGGAAUUUAUUUCAUAGCCACUUUGUUUACUCCAUGCUCAUAUGCAAUAUCUUCCCAAUCUAUUGGUCUCUCCAACAUCACCACAUUUGAGAUCUCCAACCCCCUCUUCCUUUCUAUUUAUAAAAACUUUAAAAGGGCGGUUGUCGAUGCAUAUGUCUAUAAUAAAUAUUGCAGAUCUCGUUGAGUUGAUCUAGAUAUAGGUUGGCGUCAGAGGGGAAACCACUUCGCCAACAUAAACUGAUGGUUUCCCAAGGACAAGCUUAGUGUCUUAAAAUAAGCAUUGAUCAGAUCGUAACAUGAGCUUUUAAUUAUUUACAACAUUACCUGGUGUAUUGAGCAUAUAAGGAUAAUCGUAAAAAUAUUCCUUCGGGUAUUCUUGUCACUAACCUUUCUAGGAUUGGAGCAAGAAGAUUGGAUGAAUGACAAGCACAAGGUAUGUCCAACCAAUCAUCAUAUAACAUUGAAUUAAAUUCAUCCAAACUUGAAUUUUGCAAAAUUCAAGCUUGGGGGAGUACUUUACAUAAAAACAUCCUUUGCCAUGUUGCUAUGCUGGUUGUCCCUACCUUUGAGACAUGCUCAAUUUGUUAAAUACUAAUCACACUACUUCAUCUCUACUUGAGUAGAUCUCUAUAAAUGCUGUCAUGCUACCUUUGUCUAUUUACUAGCAAGUGUUGGUUUGGAAGUACUCGCCAUACUUCCAUUGGCAUUUAAAUUAAGCAUGGUGCUUAGGUUAAAUAGCCUUCCUUAAUCUGAUUAGACAUGGAGUCUAGUUCGGUUAUUGAACUAAAAUUGCUUGUGUAGACAUUGGUAUAUUUUUGUCGGACUAACCCCUGCAGAAAAACUUUCAAUAUCGAUUUGGGAAGUCCUGAGAUAAACUCACAUCAGAGACGAAGAGAGUGACACAUGAAGUUUAACAAUUUGCACAAGAAGGACAUAGCUCAUUCAUCAUAGAGAUAUGAUCCAUGGAGGGUGCCAUGAACACGAUGCACAACCGCUAAGAAAGGAAAGCUUCCACAAGGUGAUACUGUACCAUCACUUUUCAAGCAAGGUAACAUCCUAAGGUACUUGACUAUCACUUUUAUAAGCUUCUCCUUGGUUCUGGCAUUCAUAUAAAUAAAAGAGACAAACGUGUAUGAUUUACAACUCUAGAUUAACCAACCCAACUGAUUCAACAUGUUUAGUCCUUUAAUCCUUGUUCUUAGUACUACCUCCAUGAUCCCACACUCCUAAUCAUAUGAGCUAAAAUGUUACACAUUCAAUCAUUGAGAGAUAUAAAGAAAAAGACAUAUACAUAGAUAGAUUAUCUUUCCAUAAGGUUGAGCGAUCUGAUCUGACAAAUGUUAUAAGUGCUACACUCAUGAACUUAUCAUCCAUCAACUUUGUCUUGCUCACUACGCUUAAGGUUAGAGAAGAACAAAUACACUUUUGGUUCUGUUGGUGUUUUCCACCAACAGGGCCCAUGCACUUGAUCUCUGCCUUGUCUCUAUGAGCAGGUACACUACGAGCACAAACACACUGAGCAAGAUACUGCUAACACCUCACUUCGAACUGCUGGGCAAACGAAGAACAUGGGUGACACCGUAUUAAAAGGUGCAGACAUCAAGGUCCGCACCUGAAUCAAAUGACGCACCUAAAGAAUGAACACGGUGAGAAGUCUUGUCAAGAAGACUUAAAACAUUGAACCCUCGCCGAAAGGUAAGAUUGGUAGUUAUCCAUAUUUAUCCUUUCUGCAUUCUCUUUUCCCUUUAAUUAUUUACUUUCCUUAAAUAGAUUUUUAGUUAAUCAUGCUAUCUUGAAAAGAAAAUAAAAAUGUUAAAAAAUACUAAGCCCCAUGUGAGUAUACGAGUAGCAUAAAACCCAUAAGUACCUUCACUGUGGUGGCAUAAAAAUAAAAUAAAUAUUUCUUUUCUACUUUAUAAAAUAAAAAUAUAAAAAGAGGGAGUAAUAUUUAUUGAGGAAGCUCAACAUGAUGAAGGCUAGAUAUUUAUGCUAACACUUAAUUAGUUCCACAAGCUUUGUUGUCUAUUUGAGCUCCACAGAAUUUAAGAAUCAAGAAGACUAGCAGACGGAGGACAUUCUAAUCGCUGUCAGAAUGCUGCUGACUUUCAAAUACACCUCUGCCACCUGCUAGCUACAUCAAGAGAAAUUACGUCAAAAUUUAGCUUGGGGGAGAGCACCCCCAUUUAUCUCGCUAAGUAUUUCUACCUAUCUUUAUACUUAUAUUAUAUUAGAAUAUUAAAAUACAUAAACUAUAAAAAAAAACCAAAUAAAGAUUUUAUGCUUAUAUAUAUAUAUACUUUUCUUAGUUUGCUAAAUAAAUAAAUAAAGUUUGCUAUGAAUCUUAAUAAUAAAACUCUAGCAUGGAUAUGAUGAAUAGUUGCUCUGCCUAAUUUGCAAAUUUGAAGUUCUCUCUCAAGUUUAGACAUAACUGUUAUAAUUUAAAGCUUGCUCUAGAUCUAAACUUGUGGGAUGAAAACUUGAUCUGAAAUCUAAGUUGUUAACGGAUAUGAUAUGGGAAGGUUGAGCUGCUGUUUAUCUAUUCCUAGAGAUGCUAGAAUUCUGGAGAAUUUUAUCUUUGAAAAAUCUUUAAAAUGUUGCAUGAUGAGUUCCUGUAUGAUGAAAGUUUAAAUUCCUACCACAGCCAUAUAUACAUGCUUGCUAGACUUUGAGCCACACAUUUAUUAUUUACUGCUUAUGAGCAUUGAGUGUGGUCAAGCUGUGUAGACCCUUAGGAGCUUGUCAUGUGGUUAAAUCAAGAUUCACUUGCACGUUCACUCAUAUAUAUGCUACUUCUACUCCGGAAGUACCAUCCACAUAUAUCCAUCCAUUUCCAUCUCCAGAAUCACCUAAAAAUAUUCUACUCCUAAUUCGGGAGAGAAUAGCCAAAAACAUCUGUGUUUUUUCCUUGUGAAAUAAAUGAGUGCUCUACCACUUGCUAUAUUAUCUCAAGAGAUGAGUGCUCUGAAAAAAAAAGAAGAAAAAAAAAGAGAAUAAAAAAAUAAACGAGGAAAUAAAAAGGGGCAAGUGCCCGGAACCUCGAAAGAAAAGAAAAAAAAGUGAGACGAGAGGUAAAAAUGGAUAAGUGUCCGACAGUACAAGAUACCCACCUGAGUGGAAAGAAAAAGAAGAGCAUCUCAUUCUCCUCAUAAAGUUUCAAAAAGCAAGGAAGGUAUGUAUCCCCUCAAAAGAGCAAAAGUAGAAUUAGACUUUCACCAUUGUUAUCACCAUCAUCACCAUACACUAUUCAUUCGCCACACAUGCACAUCUUGAUUUGGCUUAUUGAUUUGUUUCUUUGGAUCCAUGGUUUGACUAUACAAUAAAUGUCUUGUAAGUAUGUAUACUUUAUCUCCCACCUAUGAGCUCCAGAUAUUAAAGCCUUAUUAGAGUAGGGUGAGAGAGAAGGCAAUGUCACUAUGCCUUAUACCACAAAUACCACAUAUUUUGAGAGAAGGCAUAUACUAUCACUGCCUUGGUAAGGAUCCAGAAAUACCACAAAAGAGAGAUAUGAGAGAGUCAUACAAAGGAAUCUCUGAGUUUUAUUUGAAAAUCUGCAAAAAACUCCAGAGCUAUAGCUGAUCAAGAAUAAGAGACAUGGCACUUGGCUAGACUGUUCUAUCUUUUAACUACUCAAGACAGAAGUGACGGUUACAAGUCCCAUGGUGAAAGGUAAAGUAAGUAAGUUUUAGUUCUUAACAGUUUACUCUAACUUAGAGAUGAGAUCUUAUUUAAAGCAUGUGUACCGUUAAAUUUUUAAGAUAUUGCAACAACUUAUGAUCCAUUGCUGAGUCUAUCCUUGCUCAGGGACGAGCAAGAGGUAAGCUUGGGGGAGUUUGUUGACGGUCCUUAAGUAUCAAAUUUAACUAUCAAAUAAACAAAGAAAAGGAUCCAAAUGAAAUCAACAUCAAGACUUAGGGUUUUAUCUAACAGAAUUCCACGAGUUUUGGUGUUUGUCUAUUUCUGCAGGGGGUUAUCAGGAAAUAAGGAAGAAAGGCCCACACGUCGGGAUUACGUAAAGAUAUUAACGUGCCGCGCAAUUAUCUUACAUCUAGAAGACUCCAGAAGCCACGAGACCGAAGCGGAGGCGAAACGGGGCCAGAGACAAGGCGCCCGCCCUGUCCUACUGGGCGCCCGCCCACCUCCUGUGGCCAAUCACGCUCAAUCUCGCGGAUUAUGUUCCACCGACCUAAAGGAUCAAGAAUAACCAUUCAAUCAAUGUCGGUUUGAUCCGACGGCCCAGGUUCACUUGAGGGGACUAUAAAACCAGACCCCCUGGCCCCUGGAGGAGGCAACCCCUUGAUCAUUAUUCAUUAUUCAUAGACAGAGCAAAAGCUAGGGUUUAGAGAUGAGAGCUCUCCUCUCUUCUCUAAACUAGAGUAGAUCUAGAUAGUAGCGAGAUGGAGAGCGAAGGAGGAUUAGAGGAGAGGCCGGCCUGUCGGUUCUUCCUCCGGUUGUACUUCGCCAUGAUCAAGCUCUAAUCAAGCUUGCUCAUGGGAUGACUCUGGUAAUCUACUUCUAAUUCAUUAUGCAAUUACUAAUCAUGUAUGUUCUGGUUCACAACUCUUUUGAGUACUUCUAAUCUAUAGGACCCUAUAGGUUAGAGUUGUAGUAUAGGUGUAAGCGUGGUGCUUAGACCUAGAUUACUUGUGGAUAUCCCCUGACUAGCUGGAUCAUGUGGUAGGCCGCGUAGGUGACAGUUACGUUGGUCCCCUGUAGUACACCUCUCAUUAGCAGGACGGGUAGGGUUUAUCGGCCUAUGGAUAAGCAUCCUUUGUGGUGUACUCUUAUCACAUGGUUCGUCCCAGACAUAGACAUACCCCUUUGAAGUAGAGAAACCAUAGUUAUCCUCUCUAUUCUGCUACCAUCGCCCAUAUACUAGAAUUGCUCUACUCUCUAUUCCCAUAUUAUCACUCACUGUUAUCUUACCUUUAAUAUUGUUCUUAUUCGAUUCUACUAUCUUUCCUAUUCACACCUAUUUACUUAUCUUGGUUAAGUUAGAGCGUAGAUCAGUUCUCCCGUUUCCCUGUGGAUACGAUAAAACCUUUAACCAGGUAAAAGCUUCAACGGUAUCCGUGCGCUUGCGGAUUAUCUGUGUGCGUAUAAAUACCAUAGUACACUCUAGUGCCACGCUGGGGAUGAAAACCUAGUAUUCAAGUGGUGUUAGCAAGUGUCAACCCCCCGCUUAAAAGAAUCUCGUCCUCGAGAUUGAGCAGUGCAUAAACAAACAACUGUGGCUAUGAUUCUCUCCAAUCAUUCUCUCUUUCCCAAGUUGCUUCUACCUCUAAAAACCGAUUCCAUUGCACUAGCAAAUUCAUGUCUCUAGUCAAGUAACAUACCUGGUAACUUAUCUGAAAAUUUAUUCCCUACACAGUCCUGAAGAUCAACACCAUCAUUCAGCUGAUUCACUGCAGCUGUGGGUAGAGCCUGCACUGCUACAUCAACACUUAUUCUAUCUCCCUUUGGUGUUGUCACAACUACUACUUUCUCUUUGCACUUAAUCUCCGUAGUAUAUUUCUUCAUCCAAUCCAAACCCAAUAUCACAUCUAUGCCUGAGGUUCUCAUAACCAUGGGACUAACCGGGAAAUCUACCCCCCUUAAAGAAAGACUUGCUGAGGGGCAACAAUAAGAAACCGGUAUAGUCCCUCCCGGUGAGUUUACUAGCAUAUGAGUUUUCAUGGCAACUAGUGGAAUGCUAUGAACUCUAACAAAUGCUUGUGAUAUGAAUGUAUGCGAAGCUCCAGAAUCAAAUAAGACUGUAGCGGGGAUAGAGUUGAUACUGAACGUACCCAUCAUAAUCUCCGGUCCCUCUUGUACCGUCUCUGCAGCCACAUGGUUCACCUUUGCUCCAUGAGAAUUAGACUUUUGCUUGUUGUUCUACUGGUUGAAUCUCUCCGGGCAAUCAUAUGACAUAUGACCAUCUUUCCCACAGCGAAAACACCUAGUAGGGGUAUUGGGAGCACUUCUCUUCAUAGAGGUGGCAUUUGAAUUUCCUGAGCGGGGAAUCUACUGACCACUCUGCUGUUGAUUAGGAUUACGCUGAGGUUGUUGGUUGCGAUCCCAUUGACCAACCGGUCCCUGGAACCUCUGUUGAUCGGCUUGCCGCGAAUUGAAACGUUGGCGGUUGUUGCCUCUAGAACCUUGUGCUAGCAUCCUUCUCUUCUUGUCCUGGCCUUUGCGCAUGUUAUCCAACAUGAUAGCACGGUUCACUAAAGCCUGGAAGGUAGGAUAUGUGUUUCCAGCUAGUUGCAACCUAAGUUCAUAGUAGAGACCUUUCAUGAAGAGACGUUGUUUGUUAGCAUCCUCUCUAACUUCGUUUGGGGCAUAGCGAGCCAACUGCUCAAACAUGUCAUGAUACUCAGCCACAGACAUAGAACCCACCCUGAGAGAUCUGAAUUCUUCCUGCUUGAGCUCCAUCAUUCCUUCAUUGAUAUGUCGUGCUCGGAAAUCUCUGCAGAAUUCCAACCAAGUGACAGGAGGAGCAUUGUUGGGACGAGCAGCUUGAUAUGACUCCCACCAUGUCUGAGCUGCCCUCUGAAGCUGUCCAGAAGCAUACAACACCUUCUCCAAGUCAUUGCACUGCGCCAUGUUCAGUUGCCUCUCCACAACACGUAGCCAAUCAUCUGCCUCCAUAGGAUCAGCUAAGUGUGUAAACACCGGAGGUCUUCCUUUCAUAAAUUCACCACGCUUAUCUCUCACAUGAACUGGUGGUGGAGGUUGCUGCUGUAGGUGCUGCAUGAAGACGUGCAUCAUCUCAUUCUGAGUUUGCAUAAGUUCCUCCACAGUAACUGGGGCAUUACCACCAUUGCCACGGCCUCUGCCUCUGCCUCUUCCCCUUGCUGCCAUCUGCAUUCGAAGGUAUAGAAACAUGUCUUAGUAAUGUCCAACAUGACAAUUACAAGAGGUAACAGAAUCUGAAAUUUUCUGGGUAACAUCCAACAUCAGCAGAUCAGAAAAUUUGUCACAUCACGAGUUCCAAAAUUCAAAAGGAUAUAUGCUGUACACCGAUGGAAAUAUAAAGAAAUUGUCUACAACUUUCAUUUAGAUCAUAUUACCAGAUUCCCACGUUAGGUUCAUCAAAAACUGGGUACAACCGAAUCUGUUCUAGAAUUCCAGACUGCACAGAAACCUCAAUUAAACAGUCAUAUCUCACAGCUCAUAACAGAUAAUAAUGUCAUUCUUGAGGCAUUGGAAAGAUAUGAAGGUCCACUUGUUCCCAUAAAAAUUUGAUGAACAUUGCACGAACAGAUUUUGAGAUGUACCAGAUUCUUUGCAGACUGCUCCAGAAAACAGCAAAAGACAGAAACAGAAUUUUAACCAACCCCAACUAUUUAGUUCAUUAAUCCUUAUGCCUUAAGCCUAUAAACUAAAUGAAAUUGUAGAGGAAAUCCACAAGAUCAUUACACUCAUUACAAAGAUCCAAAUCAAGCAUAAGCAUAAUAACAAACCAAACCAAGCAUCAAAGUUUCACACUUCAAGCAUUGACUCAACUUGCGGUGCUAACGUUCUCUUCCUAUUAAGGGUAAAGAUCCUAUUACUCCUAUUUCAAUGACGUUAGAAGGUGGUAAGGAAAGUUCUAAAAGCAUAUUCAAAGCAAGAAGUGGGGAUGAGAACAAGUCUUUAAAAUAAGCAACAAGGUAAAGAUGAAUAGGAUAUAGUGUAGAAGAAAAUAUCAAGGUUUAUAGAGCAAGGAUUUUAUAGCAAUUUCAAAACCUUAAGACGGCCAAUUUCUAACUAGGCUUGCGUCCGACAGUCAACAAAGCUUUGAUACUAAUUUGUCACACCCAUAUUUUAAGAACAAAAUAGGAUGCAUAUAAGACUCAUAUCUGUCCCAGAAACAGUCGCACACAUAAGUAGACAAAUGUCAAAUGUACCAUUGCAGUGUUUAUUACAUAGCGGAACAAUAAUAAAUCACAUAGUCUUACACAAAAAUAAUAUGAGAUAAACAACGCUCUUGACGGAAGCACCACACAGGGACACUGUUGACUGGUUGACUCCAAACCUAGUACUCAUAACGGUAAUCCUCAUUCCAGUCAUCUUCAUUAUCAUAUCCUGAGGUGUUAGGAAAUUGCAAGAGUGAGCACAUAUUGUACUCAACAAGUAUAACCAGGGGUUCAUGAGGCUCAAAUAGCUGACACUGGUUUGACUGCAUUUAGCUUUUAAUAGUGGAUAGCAUGUUUACUCAUUGGAUAGCAAAUAUCAAGGUAGCAUAAUUAAAUCCCAUAACCACAUGAUCAAUGUAUACAAGAAUUAAGAAUAACACAUAUAAAGAACAUAAUAAACCAUCAUUUAUUAUCAUUAUUCACGUUCAUCAGUGUCCAUCUAUUCCGUCAGUUUUCCGGGCCGCCCGUAUCCGUGGGCACGGCUAGUAUACCAGAUUUAACACUCUGCAGAGGUUGUACAUCUUUACCCAUGAGUCGUGAUUUACCCUUUCGCCCGAGCUUGCAAGUCUCUUAACCCCCUUCCUAGGGAGGUCGGCAGGGAUCACUAUGAAGCCUUUCAAAGGUUUCGUCUAACAAGUGAGGGCCAUUAGAUUCACUCGGCAGGCAGAUAUAGAGCCCCCUUCCAUGGCACAUAACCCGCAGCCUAUACACAUGGACAGAGGCCACACUAUACCCAACGUGUCUAGCCAUUCUUACACCAUUUAAGGUAACCACUAACAAGCUAGAAAAAGGUCCUCAUACUGAGCUAAAACCAGAGCCAUAUAGCCCUCAUGGUUGUACGAGUUGUCCCAGCUUUUUCCAAGGGAUAAGUCCUUGUGGUGGGUCAAGAUCAAUCUAGCAAAAGCUAGAAUUCUUUCCACCCUUUAUGUUCAAGUUGCUAGAAAGCUUAUUUUAUUGUUUAUUGUACAUUAAAAUAUUCAUGUUACAAGAUCAUAGAUUAAUAUUCAAGCACUAGCAUGAACUACCCAAAUGCAUAUCCAAUAUAGGUAACAUGGAAUUCAGGAUAACAAUCAUCUAUGAUUUUGCUAAGGUCAUCAAGCUGGACACAUGCAUAUGAUAAAUAUUGUAUUAAUUAUGUAUAGGUAACAAGGAUGAUCCCAAGUUAUACUUGCCUUGCUCAAAGCUCUCCUGAGCCUGCUGGUCUUCAAAGGCUUGGUCUUGAUCACCAACGUACGGCUAACCGUCUAUUCCCAAACAUCAAUCAACAACACGCAAUCCAAUGUAGACAAUCAUACACGAAGCAAACAACUAUAAUUAGAACAUUACACCAAACAGUAGUAAAAUAAAUAUAAAAGUUUACCAAAAUAUUCUACGCAGCACUACGAUCACACAAACGUAAAGUUCACAAAAAUCGGAAUUAAAACGGAGAAGUUAUGCAAUUUCCAAGAUUUCCUAUAGAGAAAUAAUUAAUUAAAUGCUACUGCAGAAUUAAAAAGUUUCAAAACAGUAAACUAAUACUUCUAACAUGUACGGAUCGUAAACAUGAAUCCAACGGAAUUUGAAUGGACAAAAACGGAGUUAAAAUGAGCAUUUUAUAAGCAAAACAAAUCCAGUGGCAAUUCUGUAAUUAGCUGAAAACGUAUUUACCUUCAUCCCGAACGAAAAUACGCUUUCUACUCAGCAACGCGUAUUUUCCAGAGGGCGCCAAGGACCGUGGGCGAAUUACAAAAGAACACAGGGACUCUUUAGAAAGAUUUCCAACGAAGGGGUAUCUUCAUUUGCUGGCCAUCCGAUCUCCAUCCGACGGCCGAGAUUUCUCCAGGGGUUAACAGCGGCGGCGGCCGGCCAACUUCCUAGUCUCCGGUGCGGUGGCGCCAUUGUUGCCACCACGAAGGUCGCCAACGUUCUUCAAUCUCGCAUUUUCGGCCACCAAACUCCGAACCAAGCGCACGGGUCGAAAGAGGAGGGAGAGGCGAGCUCACCUACGCCGAAAACAAGGACGAAGAAGACGCAGGGACGGAGCAGUGCUCGGUAUGGCGGAAGACAACUCGGCGAGAUCCGAAACUCGCGAUUUACGAAGAUAGGGCACAGCUUGGACGAUUUGGAUGCGAAAAGGUAGAUGCGGGGCGGCUCAGGGGCUUUAUAGGUGUCUUAUGCGGCAAGUAAUCCCGUCCAAAUCGGGAUUGAUUCGCUCGGAUUUCCUUCGGCGGUGUCCUGCUCAGGUACGCGCGUUGGGGAGGAAAAGAGGGAGGGAGAGGAGGCUGACACGUGGGAACCGUCUGGCGGUGAAGGGGGAGAUGGGACCCAGACGUCGGUGAGAGAAGAGGCGGGGUGGGAAGCUGGGUUGCUUGCCGGGCCGAGCGCAGGGUGGAAGGGGGAGUGGGCCGCGUGCGGAGGAGGGGGAGAAACAGGCCGGGGGUGGGUCUGGCUGGGUUUACCUUUUCUUUUUUUCCUUUUUUUUCUUUUCUGUUUUCUUUUUCCUAUUUCUUCUUUGUUUUCUAAAGUCUUUUUGAAAAGAGAUUUUAAAUCCUUUUGGGAGAAAUACAAAAUACAUAGACAAAAAGCAAGCAAGCAAGUAAAUAAAUAAAUUAAUUCCAACAUGAAUGCACCACCAUGUUUCUAAACUUAGAAUAAAUUUUAAUUUUGACCAAAACUAUUUUAUUUACUAGAUUAAAUGCUCACCAAAAAUGCUUAAUUAAAUCAAAUUAAUUCCUAUUAAUGGAAAACAAAUUUUUGGGUCUUACAAAUUCUAUCCCCCUUAAAAGAAUCUCGUCCUCGAGAUUGAGCAGUGCAUAAACAAACAACUGUGGCUAUGAUUCUCUCCAAUCAUCCUCUCUUUCCCAAGUUGCUUCUACCUCUAAAAACCGAUUCCAUUGCACUAGCAAAUUCAUGUCUCUAGUCAAGUAACAUACCUGGUAACUUAUCUAAAAAUUUAUUCCCUACACAGUCCUGAAGAUCAACACCAUCAUUCAGCUGAUUCACUGUAGCUGUGGGUGGAGCCUGCACUGCUACAUCAACACUUAUUCUAUCUCCCUUUGGUGUUGUCACAACUACUACUUUCUCUUUGCACUUAAUCUUCGUAGUAUAUUUCUUCAUCCAAUCCAAACCCAAUAUCACAUCUAUGCCUAAGGUUCUCAUAACCAUGGGACUAACCGGGAAAUCUACCCCCCUUAAAGAAAGACUUGCUGAGGGGCAACAAUAAGAAACCGGUAUAGUCCCUCCUGGUGAGUUUACUAGCAUAUGAGUUUUCAUGGCAACUAGUGGAAUGCUAUGAACUCUAACAAAUGCUUGUGAUAUGAAUGUAUGCGAAGCUCCAGAAUCAAAUAAGACUGUAGCGGGGAUAGAGUUGAUAUUGAACGUACCCAUCAUAAUCUCCGGUCCCUCUUGUACUGUCUCUGCAGCCACAUGGUUCACCUUUGCUCCAUGAGAAUUAGACUUUUGCUUGUUGUUCUGCUGGUUGAAUCUCUCUGGGCAAUCAUAUGACAUAUGACCAUCUUUCCCAUAGCGAAAACACCUAGUAGGGGUAUUGGGAGCACUUCUCUUCAUAGAGGUGGCAUUUGAAUUUCCUGAGCGGGGAAUCUGCUGACCACUCUGUUGUUGAUUAGGAUUACGCUGAGGUUGUUGGUUGCGAUCCCAUUGACCAACCGGUCCCUGGAACCUCUGUUGAUCGCCUUGCUGCGAAUUGAAACAUUGGUGGUUGUUGCCUCUAGAACCUUGUGCUAGCAUUCUUCUCUUCUUGUCCUGGCCUUUGCGCAUGUUAUCCAACACGAUAGCACGGUUCACUAAAGCCUGGAAGGUAGGAUAUGUGUUUCCAGCUAGUUGCAACCUAAGUUUAUAGUAGAGACCUUUCAUGAAGAGACGUUGUUUGUCAGCAUCCUCUCUAACUUCUUUUGGGGCAUAGCGAGCCAACUGCUCAAACAUGUCAUGAUACUCAGCCACAGACAUAGAACCCAUCCUGAGAGAUCUGAAUUCUUCCUGCUUGAGCUCCAUCAUUCCUUCAUUGAUAUGUCGUGCUCGGAAAUCUCUGCAGAAUUCCAACCAAGUGACAGGAGGAGCAUUGUUGGGACGAGCAGCUUGAUAUGACUCCCACCAUGUCUGAGCUGCCCCCUGAAGCUGUCCAGAAGCAUACAACACCUUCUCCAAGUCAUUGCACUGCGCCAUGUUCAGUUGCCUCUCCAUAGCACGUAGCCAAUCAUCUGCCUCCAUAGGAUCAGCUGAGUGUGUAAACACCGGAGGUCUUCCUUUCAUAAAUUCACCACGCUUAUCUCUCACAUGAACUGGUGGUGGUGGUGGUGGAGGUUGCGGCUGUAGGUGCUGCAUGAAGACGUGCAUCAUCUCAUUCUGAGUUUGCAUAAGUUCCUCCACAGUAAUUGUGGCAUUACCACCAUUGCCACGGCCUCUGCCUCUGCCUCUUCCCCUUGCUGCCAUCUGCAUUCCAAGGUAUAGAAACAUGUCUUAGUAAUGUUCAACAUGACAAUUACAAGAGGUAACAGAAUCUGAAAUUUUCUGGGUAACAUCCAACAUCAGCAGAUCAGAAACAUUUGUCACAUCUCGAGUUCCAAAAUUCAAAAGGAUAUAUGCUGUACACCGUUGGAAAAAUAAAGAAAUUGUCUACAACUUUCAUUUAGAUCAUAUUACCAGAUUCCAAAGUUAGGUUAAUCAAAAACUGGGUACAACCGAAUCUGUUCCAGAAUUCCAGACUGCGCAGAAACCUCAACUUUAAACAGUCAUAUCUCACAGCUCAUAAUAGAUAAUAAUGUCAUUCUUGAGGCAUUGGAAAGAUAUGAAGGUCCACUUGUUCCCAGAAAAAUUUGAUGAACAUUGCACGAACAGAUUUUGAGAUGUACCAGAUUCUUUGCAGACUGCUCCAGAAAACAGCAAAAGACAGAAACAAAAUUUUAACCAACCCCAACUAUUUAGUUCAUUAAUCCUUAUGCCUUAAGCCUAUAAACUAAAUGAAAUUGUAGAGGAAAUCCACAAGAUCAUUACACUCAUUACAAAGAUCCAAAUCAAGCAUAAGCAUAAUAACAAACCAAACCAAGCAUCAAAGUUUUACACUUCAAGCAUUGACUCAACUUGCGGUGCUAACGUUCUCUUCGUAAAGAUCCUAUAACUCCUAUUUCAAUGACGUUAGAAGGUGGUAAGGAAAGUUCUAAAAGUAUAUUCAAAGCAAGGAGUGGGGAUGAGAACAAGUCUUUAAAAUAAGCAACAAGGUGAAGAUGAAUAGGAUAUAGUGUAGAAGAAAAUAUCAAGGUCUAUAGAGCAAGGAUUUUAUAGCAAUUUCAAAACCUUAAGACGGCCAAUUUCUAACUAGGCUUGCGUCCAACAGUCAACAAAGCUUUGAUACCAAUUUGUCACACCCGUAUUUUAUGAACAAAAUAGGAUGCAUAUAAGACUCAUAUGUGCCCCAGAAACAGUCCCACACAUAAGUAGACAAAUCUCAAAUGUACCAUUGCAGUGUUUAUUAUAUAGCAGAACAAUAAUAAAUCACAUUGUCUUACACAAAAAUAAUAUGAGAUAAACAACGCUCUUGACGGAAGCACCACACAGGGACAUUGUUGACUGGUUGACUCCAAAUCUAGUACUCAUAACGGUAAUCCUCAUUCCAGUCAUCUUCAUUAUCAUAUCCUGAGGUGUUGGGAAAUUGCAAGAGUGAGCACAUAUCAUACUCAACAAGUAUAACUAGGGGUUCAUGAGGCUCAAAUAGCUGAUACUGGUUUGACUGCAUUUAGCUUUUAAUUGUGGAUAGCAUGUUUACUCAUUGGAUAGCAAAUAUCAAGGUAGCAUAAUUAAAUCUCAUAACCACAUGAUCAAUGUAUACAAGAAUUAAGAAUAACACAUAUAAAAACAUAAUAAACCAUCAUUUAUUAUCAUUAUUCACGUUCAUCAGUGUCCAUCUAUUCCGUCAGUUUUCCGGGCCGCCCGUAUCCGUGGGCACGGCUAGUAUACCAGAUUUAACACUCUGCAGAGGUUGUACAUCUUUACCCAUGAGUCGUGAUUUACCCUUUCACCCGAGGUUGCAAGUCUCUUAACCCCCUUCCUAGGUAGGUCGGCAGGGAUCACUAUGAAGCCUUUCAAAGGUUUCGUCUAACAAGUUAGGGCCAUUAGAUUUACUCGGCAGGCAGAUAUAGAGCCCCCCUUCCAUGGCACAUAACCCGCAGCGUAUACACAUGGAUAGAGGCCACACCAUACCCAACGUGUCUAGCCAUUCUUACGCCAUUUAAGGUAACCACUAACAAGCUAGAAAAAGGUCCUCAUACUGAGCUAAAACCAGAGCCAUAUAGCCCUCAUUGUUGUACGAGUUGUCCCAGCUUUUGCCAAGGGAUAAGUCCUUAUGGAGGGUCAAGAUCAAUCUAGCAAAAGCUAGAGUUCUUUCCACCCUUUAUGUUCAAGUUGCUAGAAAGCUUAUUUUAUUGUUUAUUGUACAUUCAAAUAUUCAUUUUACAAGAUCAUGGAUUAAUAUUCAAGCACUAGCAUGAACUACCCAAAUGCAUAUCCAAUAUAGGUAACAAGGAAUUCAGGAUAACAAUCAUCUAUGAUUUUGCUAAGGUCAUCAAGGUGGACACAUGCAUAUGAUAAAUAUUGUAUUAAUUGUGUAUAGGUAACAAGGAUGAUCCCAAGUUAUACUUGCCUUGCUCAAAGCUCUCCUGAGCCUGCUGGUCUUCAAAGGCUUGGUCUUGAUCACCAACGUACGGCUCACCGUCUAUUCCCAAACAUCAAUCAACAACACGCAAUCCAAUGUAGACAAUCAUACACGAAGCAAACAACUAUAAUUAGAACAUUACACCAAACAGUAGUAAAACAAAUAUAAAAGUUUACCAAAAUAUUCUACGCAGCGCUACGAUCACACAAAUGUAAAGUUCACGAAAAUCGGAAUUAAAACGGAGAAGUUAUGCAAUUUCCAAGAUUUCCUAUAGAGAAAUAAUUAACUAAAUGCUACUACAGAAUUAAAAAGUUUCAGAACAGUAAACUAAUACUUCUAACAUGUAGGGAUCGUAAAUACGAAUCCAACGGAAUUUGAAUGGACAAAAACGGAGUUAAAAUGAGCAUUUUAUAAGCAAAACAAAUCCAGUGGCAAUUCUGUAAUUAGCUGAAAACGUAUUUAGCUUCAUCCCGAACGAAAAUACGCUUUCUACUCAGCAACGCAUAUUUUCCAGAGGGCGCCAAGGACCGCGGGCGAAUUACAAAAGAACACAGGACUCUUUAGAAAGAUUUCCAACGAAGGGGUAUCUUCAUUUGCUGGCCAUCUGAUCUCCAUCCGACGGCCGAGAUUUCUCCAGGGGUUAAUAGCGGCGGCGGCCGGCCAGCUUCCUGGUCUCCGGUGCGGUGGCGCCAUUGUUGCCACCACGAAGGUUGCCGGCGUUCUUCAAUCUCGCGUUUUCGGCCACCAAACUCCGAACCAAGCGCACGGGUCGAAAGAGGAGGGAGAGGCGAGCUCACCUACGCCGAAAACAAGGACGAAGAAGACGCGGGGACGGAGUAGUCUCGGUAUGGCGGAAGACAACUCGGCGAGAUCCGAAACUCGCGAUUUACGAAGAUAGGGCACGGCUUGGACGAUUUGGAUGCCAAAAGGGGCUUUAUAGGUGUCUUAUGCGGCAAGUAAUUCCGUCCAAAUCGGGAUUGAUUCGCUCGGAUUUCCUUCGGCGGUGUCCUGCUCAGGUACGCGCGUUGGAGAAGAAAAGAGGGAGGGAGAGGAAGCUGACACGCGGGACUGAAAGGUCCAAAUGGCUAGAGGGGGUGUGAAUAGCCUAUUUAAAAAUUCUACAAACUUCACUAAGCAAGUGAGUUAGUAAAACAAAUAGCGAAGCAAUUUUAGCACUAGCUUAACUAAGCUAUGCAAGCCACCUAUACAAACUAGUACAAGGCUAAACAGUAAAGCACAACAACCAAAGAACUAAGCUAAACAAGCUACACAACUAGCAAGGUAUGCACAAAAGUAAAGGAGAGGUGAGUGAUUGUUAUACCAACGUUGUAGAGUAGAGAUAUAUCCAACCAAUCACUCACAAUGACAAGAGAAUCCUCGGCAAGAGAUGACACAAGAUUUUUUACCGAGGUUCACUUGCUUCCCGGCAAGCUACUCCUCGUUGUGGUGAUACACCCACUUGAUGGAUCACGAGCUAAUUGGCAAUCCAAAGCCAAACCCUCAGCGGGUGCCGCACAUCCACUCACAAGAUGGGGAUCCUCCAAGCCACGAGCAAUCCACUAGAGUAGCCAAUUGCGAUCUCCCGCGGGGAAGGCUCAAGAACCCCUCACAAGUCACUUGGUGAGGCUCGAAACAAUCUCCAAUCACGAGCUCAACACCACCGCUGCUCCAAGCCGUCUAGGGCGUUGGGAAACACCCAAGAGUAACAAGAAAUCCGCAGCAAACUCAAGAAUCAAGUGCCACUAAAUGCAACUCUCAAAGCAAUGCACUUGAAUCUCACUCAAUCUCACUAGGAUGAGCAAUCAAGCAAGGAGAUGAGUGGAGGGAGUGUUCUCUAGCUCAAAGUAUGCCUCAAGUAUUCAAAAGUGCAAGUUAGAGCCUCCCAAAGCCUGCCACCUUCUAUUUAUAAGCCCCUUAAAGAAACUAGCCAUUGGCUGUUUUCACUGGGCUGAAAACGGGGGCACCGGACGCUACUAAGUGAGCACCGGACGCUCGACUCCCUGCGUCAGGUGCACUGGAGUUGGCCACGUGUCCUCUUUGAAUCUCGCGUGUCAGAUCCUAACGGCUACCUGCAACACACCAGACGCUCUGCAAGUCCACACCGGACGGUCCGGUGCUCACCGGACUCGUGCGCAGAGAGGGUGUCAAACUCGCGACCUCACCGGACGCUGGGCACCGGACUCGUGCGCAGAGAGGGUUGCAAAAACACCUCACACCGGACGCUAACCACCGGACGCUCUCAGAGUGCGUCCGGUGCUUAACCCUAGCAGGGUCAAGCGCACCGGACGCUGAAGCCAGCGUCCGGUGCCUCCGCACUCAGCGUCCGGUGAGUGUUUCUCAGAGAGAAAACACUCCCGCGACUACUCCAAAUUUCCCACCGGCGCAAUAGAAAAUAUACACUUAUUUUUGUCAAAAGCGCCGAAUCCCGCCUCGCAAGCUCGACGGGAGGGAGAGAGGAACCCACACCCCUCUCAACCCUAGGAACUCCAUCUCCUUUGCAAAAGUGCUAACACCAACAAGUGUCCACCACCAAAGUGCAAGUGUGUUAGCUUUUCACAAACAUUUUCACCAAAGGAGUUAAGUUAGCACUUUACUAGAUCCUAAUGCAUAUGCUCAAGAUAUGGACCUAGUAGCACUUGAUUCGAGAGAUGACCGUGAUUUCCCCUCUUGAUAGUCGGCUAUCUAUCCUAAACCCGGUCAAUCACUUCUCUACUCAUCUUAGACCGGCAAAAGUAAAACCCUAUGUUUAUACCUUUGCCUUGUUCACUUUCUCCCUUGUCCGUCAUCAUGAUUUCCACAUCAUGCUUCAUCUCUUUGUAAUCAUGUGGCCACCUUUCCAUGCCACCAUGUACCUUCAUCACAUGUGUUGCUAUGCCUAACUCAAAUCACUUAAACACAAGGCAUUAGCAACUUGGUGUCAUUAAUUACCAAAACCAAACUUGGGCUUUCAAUCUCCCCCUUUUUGGUAAUUGAUGACAACCAUCACAAAGAUAUGAAAUGAAAUCAUAAUGAACUUGAAUUGCUUGUCCAAAGCAUUUUUAUCAUGAGACAAGAUUGGACAAACAUUUCAAUUUCGGUUUUGGUAGUACUAGAUCCCCCUACAUAUGUGCUUCCAUGAGUUUGGUUCAAGUUUGCACAUAUGCAUGAAUUAGAGUUUUGGGAGAUUUAUUACUACCAAAAUGAUGCUAAGGUAUAUAGAAUGGACCUUUGAAGCGUGAUACCAAUCGGAGUUGCCAAUAUACCAUCCUUAGCACCAAUGUAGCUAGACAUACAUCAAAAACUCAAGAUACCUCGUGAGAUCACAUUAUAUGUCUAGAUACCACAUGAAAAUAAGACUCUAUGCUAGAAUUCAAAGCAUCAUUCAAGUUCUAUUUCUAGCAAACACCAAUCAAACAAGAGUAGUGAAUUUAAACUUGCAAUGCAACACCUCAUUAUGUUAGUGCACAUUCAAGUGCAACAAAUGGUUCAUGAGCUUGCUCCCCCUAUUUGUGUGCUCAAGUGUAUCUCUCCCCCUUUGCACUUUUCUCCCCCUUUAUGACUUUAUCUUUGUUUCUCUCCCCCUUUGUCAUCAAUGACCACAAAGGUUCAAAUUUUAGUGAGAAUUAAGUCAAUCAAUGUGAGGGUCAAAUUAUGGUUCAAUCUAGAUUACUUGCCUAGAAUAUGUAAUUCGGUUUGAUCCAAGGACAAGCUUUUUCACACCUCAUAAAGUAUAAGGGUUAUCUUGACCAUGUUGAAUUACACAUCAUAAGCUCAUAUUCUAGAUUCAACGCUAGGCUUGCAAGCUCACAAACAUGUCAUAUGCUACCACUAGAUCAAUCAAUCAUAGAAGCAAUAGUGGUACCAUACAUACAUCAAAAUCUUUUGUUUUUCAUGAAUGAGCCUAUUUGUCAUGCAAAUAUGUCUAUAUGUUCUAAUCUUGUCCUUAGCAAAGUAUGAAUGAUAUGUCAACCAACUUUACCUUGCUUUGUUGGAGGAGAGGCAUGUCAUAUAUAAAUGUGGGGGUGCACUCAUCUCAAGUUGGAGAAGUCAAGUAUGUUCAAUUCAUUCCUCAACUUGCAAAAUCUCUUCUCAUCAAGUGGCUUUGUGAAGAUGUCGGCUAGUUGAUCUUCGGUGCCAAUGCUUUCAAUGCUAAUAUCACCCUUUUGUUGAUGGUCUCUUAUGAAAUGGUGCCUUAUGUCAAUGUGCUUGGUUCUUGAAUGUUGAACCGGAUUUUGUGUCAUCUUGAUUGCACUCUCAUUAUCACAUAGCAAAGGCACAUUCUUGAAUUUGAUUCCAAAGUCAUUCAAGGUAGCUUUCAUCCAAAGCAAUUGUGCACAACAACUACCGGCACUAAUGUAUUCGGCUUCGGCGGUUGAUAGUGCAACACUAUUUUGUUUCUUUGAUGACCAUGAAACUAGAGACCUUCCUAGCAAUUGACAAGUGCCACUUGUGCUCAUUCUAUCAAUUUUGCAUCCACCAUAGUCGGAGUCCGAAUAUCCAAUCAACUCAAAGUUUGAUCCCUUGGGAUACCAUAAUCCAACAUCAUGAGUGCCCUUGAGAUACCUCAAUAUUCUUUUGGUUGCCUUCAAGUGACUCUCUCUAGGUGAAGCUUGGUAUCUUGCACAUUUGCACACACUAAACAUUACAUCCGGCCUUGAUGCGGUGACAUAGAGCAAACUUCCAAUCAUGGACCGGUAUAACUUUUGAUCUACCAUGUUUCCACUUGCAUCACUACCUAAUUGAUCAUUUGUGCCCAUAGGUGUGCUCAUUGGUUUAGCUUCUUGCAACCCAAACUUCUUGAUCAUGUCCUUGAUGUACUUUCCUUGACUUACAAAAGUGCCAUUUUUCAUUUGCUUGAUUUGAAGACCAAGGAAGUAACUAAGCUCUCCAAUCAUGGACAUUUCAAACUCAUUAGCCACCAUUCUUCCAAACUCUUCACAAAAGUCUUGAUUGGUUGAUCCAAAGAUGAUAUCAUCAACAUAGAUUUGCAACACGAACAAGUCAUUGCCUAGCUUCUUGGUGAAGAGGGUAGUGUCAACCUUUCCCAUCUUGAACCCUUUAGAGAGAAGGAAAUCUCUCAAUCUCUCAUACCAUGCUCUAGGUGCUUGCUUUAAACCAUACAAUGCCUUCUUGAGCUUGUAAACAUGGUUGGGUUUCUUGUCAUCUUCAAAACUGGGAGGUUGUUCAACAUAAACCAACUCAUUGAUGUAUCCAUUGAGAAAUACACUCUUCACAUCCAUUUGAUAGAGCUUGAUGUUGUGGGCACAAGCAUAGGCUAAUAAUAUUCUAAUUGCCUCCAAUCUUGCAACCGGUGCAUAUGUUUCUCCAAAGUCAAGACCUUCAACUUGAGUGUAGCCUUGUGCUACUAAUCUUGCUUUGUUUCUCACAACUACACCAUCUUGAUCUUGCUUGUUUCUAAAGACCCACUUGGUUCCAAUGACAUUGUAGUUCUUUGGCCUCUCAACAAGCUCCCACACUUGAUUUCUUGUGAAAUUGUUCAAUUCUUCAUGCAUGGCAUUUACCCAAUCGGAGUCCUUCAAUGCAUCUUCUAUUUUCUUUGGUUCCUCAAAUGAGACAAAUGAGUAGUGCUCACAAAAGGAUGCUAGCCUUGAUCUUGUUUGUACACCACUUUGAAUACCUCCAAUGACUUGAUCCAAUGGAUGAUCCCUUGCUAUGCUAGUAGGUUGGAGUAUUGGGAAUUGAUUGCUUCCACUAGCUUGAUUUUGAUCUUGAUCAUCAUCAUAAGAGCCACUAGUACUUGCUUGAUUUGUAUGAAUUUGCACUUCUUGAUUGAUCAUGUGAAUAUCACUAUCAUCAUCAACUUGCAUUGGCCUUAUGUCACCAACAUCCAUGUUCUUCAUUGCAUUUUCCAAUUGAUCUCCUCUCACAUCAUCAAGAUUUUGAGCUUCAUUUUGAGAUCCCUCGGUUUCAUCAAACUCAACAUCAUGGACUUCUUCCAAUGUGCCACUUGCCAAGUUCCAAACUCUAUAUGCCUUGCUUGUGGUGGAAUAACCAAGUAAGAACCCUUCAUCACAUUUCUUCUCAAACUUGCUCAAUCUAAUGCCUUUCUUGAGAAUGUAGCAUUUGCAACCAAACACUCUAAAGUAUGCAAUGUUGGGCUUUCUUCCAUUCAAUAGCUCAUAUGGUGUCUUCCCAAGCUUCCCAUGGCAAUAGAGACGGUUGCUACAAUAGCAAGCCGUGUUGAUAGCUUCACUCCAAAAUGAAUGACUAACAUUGUACUCACUAAGCAUUGAUCUAGCCAUAUCAAUCAAGGUUCUAUUCUUCCUUUCAACUACACCAUUGGAUUGAGGAGUGUAUGUUGGAGAGAAUUGAUGUCCAAUGCCAAGAUCAUCACACAAUUCCUCAAUUCUUGUGUUCUUGAAUUCACUACCAUUGUCACUUCUAAUCUUCUUGAUAGUGGUUUCAAACUCAUUUUGCACCCUCUUGACAAAAGACUUGAAUAGAUCACAAACAUCACUCUUGUCAUAGAGAAAGAACACCCAAGUGUAUCUAGUGUAGUCAUCUACUAUCACAAGUCCAUACUUGUUGCUACCAAUGCUAGUAUAUGUUGUUGGCCCAAAUAAAUCCAUGUGCAAAAGCUCAAAUGCCUUUGAUGUGCUCAUUUCACUUUUCUUAGGAUGUGCAUUUCCAACUUGCUUUCCGGCUUGACAAGCACUACAUGGUUUAUCCUUCUCAAAGGUGACAUCCUUCAAGCCUCUAACUAAGUCAUGCCUCAAUAGUUUGUUCAAUUGUUUCAUUCCAACAUGACCAAGCCUUCUAUGCCACAACCAACCCAAACUUGAUUUGCUAAUUAGGCAUGAUGUCAAUUGAGUGUCACUAUCAUUGAAAUCAACCAAGUAUAAGCUACCAUGCCUAAAUCCUUUGAAUAUCAAGUUUGAUCCAUCAACACUAAUCACCUCAACAUCAUCACUUCCAAAGAUGCACUUGAAACCAAGGUCACAAAGUUGUGCAAUAGACAAGAGAUUGAAAUCAAGGCUCUCAACUAGCAACACAUUUGAUAUGCUCAUGUCAUUUGAGAUAGCAAUUUUACCAAGCCCCUUGACCUUGCGUUUCUUGUUGUUACCGAAGGUAAUUGAAUCAAAGCCACCAUUUUGACUAGUAUCAAUUGAUUUGAACAUACAAGACUCCCCGGUCAUAUGUUGAGUGCACCCACUAUCAAGCACCCAAUGCCUUCCUCCGGCUUUGUAAUUGACCUACAAGACAAGAUCAAUUCUUUUUAGGUACCCAAACUUGAUUGGGUCCUCCAAGGUUAGCAACUAAGCUCUUUGGUACCCAAAUGGCUUUCUUCUUUGAGCCCAUCCAUGGUGCACCAAUGAACUUAGCAUGAACACCUUUUGUAUCCUUGGUAAGUACAUAAAAAGAAUUAUGCUUAAUUGAGGAUACAUUAGCUUUGGGUUUCUUGUUCAUGCAUUGUUGCUCUAAGUGACCAACUUGCUUGCAAGCUUUGCAAUACCGGCCUUUUGUCUUCACAAAACUAGUCUUGUGAGGAGCAAAGGCGGACUUGCCUUUCUUGGGGUUAUAGCCCAAUCCCUCUUUAUAGAGAGAAGCUCUUUGGCUACCCAAGCACAUAAGCAAGCGGUCCUCACCACCAUAAGCCUUGGCUAAGGUGUGAUUGAGCUCCUUUACCUCCUUCUUGAGAAUUUCAUUCUCAACUUUUAGUGUGGUGUCACAUGUGAAACCAUCACUACUAGAUGAGGGAGAUGUAGAUGUGCUACAUGAAGGGUUAGUCGAAGCAACAACAAUAGGCUUACUUAAGAUAUCACAUGUUAGGCCUAUGUUGCAAGUUUUAGCUUUCUCAAUUUUAGUUGGCUCAUUUUCACAUUUGUUAACUAGAGAGGAAUGAGCUUCUUCAAGCUUAGUGUGAGCCUUUUGAAGCUUCUUAUGGUCUUCCUUUAGAUUCUCAUAAGAUGCUCUAAGCUCAUCAAGUUCUUGCUCAAGGGUUUUCUUAUCCUUAAGCAAAGCCUUGCACUCCUUUCUAGUUUCUUUAUAGUGAUGAGUGCAAUCUUCUAGCAUAGUGAUUAGUUCAUCUUUAGUUGGUUCAUCAUCAUCACUAUCACUUGCAUGGUCACUCUCAUCAUCGGAUGAUACCUUAGUGGCCCUAGCCAUGAAGCAUGAUGGAGUGUCGAAGAUGGAGCUCUUUUCUUGAAUUGCAAUACUAGCAUGUGCCUUCUUCUUGGUGCUCUCAUCAUCACUUGAGGAAUCAUCACUAUCCCAAGUUGCAACAUGGGCAUCACCCUUCUUCUUGUUUGAGCCUUCCUUCUUUUCUUGCUUCUUCUUUUGCUUCUUUUUUUCCUUCUUGAUAGCAUCUUCAUCAUCACUAUCAUAAGGACAUUUGGCAAUGAGAUGAUCCUUGCUAUGGCAUCUAAAGCACCUCAUGGAGUGGUCAUUCUUCUUGGAGGAGCUCUUCUUCCUUCUUGCCCGAUAGCCCUUCUUCUUCAUAAACUUGCCAAAUCUCUUGACAAGGAGAGCCAUCUCCUCAUCUUCAUCACUAUCACAAGAGCUUGCUUCUUCUUCACUUGAUGAUUCUUGCUUGGCUUUGCCCUUGGAUGUGGAGGCCUUGAAUGCCACACUUUUCUUCUUCUCAUCAUCUUUCUUCUCACCAUCCUUCUUUUUCUUCUUGAUCAACUCAUCCUUCUCAUAAUCUUCUCUAUAAGCAUCAUCGGUCAUCACUUCUUGGAAGACUUGUUGGGGAGUUGAUUCACUAAGUGUUGUCUUGACUAGCACGGUGAUCAAUGUGUCAAAUCUCUUGGGCAAGCUUCUCAAGAACUUCAUAGAGAAUUGACUAUCCUUCACUUCUUCCCCAAGUGCCUUGAGCUCAUUUACAAUAACUUGUAACCGGUGAAACAUCUCCGCCACACUUUCAUCUUCUUGCAUCUUGAAGCUUGAGAACUUUUCUUGGAGGAUGUAUGCUUUGGCGGUCUUGGUUCCCUUGGUGCCCUCAAAUGUUUCUUCUAAUUUUGCCCAUGCAUCAUGAGCAAUCACAAUGUUCUUGAUUUGCUCAAAGGUCUUGUCAUCAAGAGCUUCAUGAAGAGCACUAAUUGCAAUAUCAUUGCAUUGUAGCUUCUUCUCUUCAACCGGUGUUGGUGCAUUCUCAUUUGCAACUUCAAACUUUGUUUCGGUCACCUUCCAAACCUCUCUAUUGAUUGACUUAAGAUGAGCGGUCAUCUUGACCUUCCAAUAUGCAUAAUUGGUGCCAUCAAAGAAAGGUGCCUUCUUGGUGUUGUUGAUAUGCAAACUAAGAGCCAUUUCUUCACCGAAGGUUGUUAAGCCUCAAAUAAACGGUGCCUCAGCUCCCAUACCACUUGAAAGGUCCAAAUGGCUAGAGGGGGGGUGAAUAGCCUAUUCAAAAAUUCUACAAACUUCACUAAGCAAGUGAGUUAGUAAAACAAAUAGCGAAGCAAUUCUAGCACUAGCUUAACUAAGCUAUGCAAGCCACCUAUACAAAUUAGUACAAGGCUAAACACUAAAGCACAACAACCAAAGAACUAAGCUAAACAAGCUACACAACUAGCAAGGUAUGCACAAAAGUAAAGGAGAGGUGAGUGAUUGUUAUACCAACGUUGUAGAGUAGAGAUAUAUCCAACCAAUCACUCACAAUCACAAGAGAAUCCUCGGCAAGAGAUGACACAAGAUUUUUUACCGAGGUUCACUUGCUUCCCGGCAAGCUACUCCUCGUUGUGGCGAUACACCCACUUGAUGGAUCACAAGCUAAUUAGCAAUCCAAAGCCAAACCCUCAGCGGGUGCCGCACAUCCACUCACAAGAUGGGGAUCCUCCAAGCCACGAGCAAUCCACUAGAGUAGCCAAUUGCGAUCUCCCACGGGGAAGGCUCAAGAACCCCUCACAAGUCACUUGGUGAGGCUCGAAACAAUCUCCGAUCACGAGCUCAACACCACCGCUGCUCCAAGCCGUCUACGGCGUCGGGAAACACCCAAGAGUAACAAGAAAUCCGCAGCAAACUCAAGAAUCAAGUGCCACUAAAUGCAACUCUCAAAGCAAUGCACUUGAAUCUCACUCAAUCUCACUAGGAUGAGCAAUCAAGCAAGGAGAUGAGUGGAGGGAGUGUUCUCUAGCUCAAAGUAUGCCUCAAGUAUUCAAAAGUGCAAGUUAGAGCCUCCCAAAGCCGGCCACCUUCUAUUUAUAAGCGGCUUAAAGAAACUAGCCGUUGGCUGUUUUCACUGGGCUGAAAACGGGGGCACCGGACGCUACUAAGUGAGCACCGGACGCUCGACUCCCUGCGUCCGGUGCACUGGAGUUGGCCACGUGUCCUCUUUGAAUCUCGCGUGUCAGAUCCUAACGGCUACCUGCAACACACCGGACGCUCUGCAAGUCCACACCGGACGGUCCGGUGCUCACCGGACUCGUGCGCAGAGAGGGUGUCAAACUCGCGACCGCACCGGACGCUGGGCACCGGACGGUCCGGUGCUCACCGGACUCGUGCGCAGAGAGGGUUGCAAAAACACCUCACACUGGACGCUAACCACCGGACGCUCUCAGAGUGCGUCCGGUGCUUAACCCUAGCAGGGUCAAGCGCACCGGACGCUGAAGCCAGCAUCCGGUGCCUCCGCACUCAGCGUCCGGUGAGUGUUUCUCAGAGAGAAAACACUCCCGCGACUACUCCAAAUUUCCCACCGGCGCAAUAGAAAAUAUACACUUAUGUUUCUCAAAAGCGCCGAAUCCCGCCUCGCAAGCUCGACGGGAGGGAGAGAGGAACCCACACCCCUCUCAACCCUAGGAACUCCACCUCCUUUGCAAAAGUGCUAACACCAACAAGUGUCCACCACCAAAGUGCAAGUGUGUUAGCUUUUCACAAACAUUUUCACCAAAGGAGUUAAGUUAGCACUUUACUAGAUCCUAAUGCAUAUGCUCAAGAUAUGGACCUAGUAGCACUUGAUUCGAGAGAUGACCGUGAUUUCCCCUCUUGAUAGUCGGCUAUCUAUCCUAAACCCGGUCAAUCACUUCUCUACUCAUCUUAGACAGGCAAAAGUAAAACCCUAUGUUUAUACCUUUGCCUUGUUCACUUUCUCCCUUGUCCGUCAUCAUGAUUUCCACAUCAUGCUUCAUCUCUUUGUAAUCAUGUGGCCACCUUUCCAUGCCACCAUGUACCUUCAUCACAUGUGUUGCUAUGCCUAACUCAAAUCACUUAAACACAAGGCAUUAGCAACUUGGUGUCAUUAAUUACCAAAACCAAACUUGGGCUUUCAGGGACCCGUCUAGCGGUGAAGGGGGAGGUGGGACCCAGACGUCGGUGAGAGAAGAGGCGGGGUGGGAAGCUGGGUUGCUUGCCGGGCUGAGCGCAGGGUGGAAGGGGGAGUGGGCCGCGUGCGGGGGAGGGGGAAAAACAGGCCGGGGGUGGGUCUGGCUGGGUUUACCUUUUCUUUUUUUUUCUUUUUUUUCUUUUCUGUUUUCUUUUUCCUAUUUCUUCUUUGUUUUAUAAAGUCUUUUUGAAAAGAGAUUUUAAAUCCUUUUGGGAGAAAUACAAAAUACAUAGACAAAAAGCAAGCAAGCAAGUAAAUAAAUAAAUUAAUUCCAGCAUGAAUGCACCACCAAGUUUCUAAACUUAUAAUAAAUUUUAAUUUUGACCAAAACUAUUUUAUUUACUAGAUUAAAUGCUCACCAAAAAUACUUAAUUAAAUCAAAUUAAUUCCUAUUAAUUGAAAACAAAUUUUUGGGUGUUACAAGUCUACUUUUGGUAAUGAUGUUAAGAAUACCCAACAGAUAGUAGGUGUUAUUGUUGAUGAAGUUCACGUCCUCUUGUAGUGUAGGGCAACAAAUAGAUUAGUGCCCGUAGUCUCCACAUUCUUUACAUGUCAUAUGGGAAUCAUUGAUGUGCAUGACUUCCUUCUUCUCUAUGUCGAGCUUCUUCAUGAUGAGGUCUAGCUUGGCAGUGACCAUGUUAGCUUUCUUGAGAUGAUGGAUUCCUCCUCCUUUCUUCCGAGACUGAGUAUGGUCUUCAUUGCAUGUCGAAUUUGAUACCAUCUUCUCAACAAUUGCUUUAGCGUCUGAGAGCUUAAGUGAUAGGAAAGCUCCCCCAGCUGCAGCAUCAAUAAACUCACUGGUACUAGAGAUGAGCCCGUGAUAGAAAGUCAACAUUAACAACCACUCCUCUAUCCCAUGAUGAGGACAGUCUUCAAUGUAAUUCUAGAAUCUUUCCCAUGCUUCAGUGAAUGAUUCAUCAUGUUGUUGUUGGAAACUUGAAAUCUUCCCACGUAGAGCAUUAGUCUUUGCUGUAGGAAAGAAUUUUGCCAUGAAAGAAGUUGAGCAAAGGUCCCAUGUAUUGUGUUUCUAUUUGUUGGUGUAAAACCACUACUUGGCUUUCCCGAAUAAUGAGAACGGGAAAAGACGUAGUAAGAUAGCACCUUUUGGUACUCCUCUGAUCGUGAAGGUGUUGCAGAUCUCUAGAAAGUGUUUGUUGAGGAUAUCAGUAAGGAGUACCCUAAGUGAUGAGCAUAUCAAGAGUAUCCGUACACAAGUCGAGGCAUCCGACUCGACGCCCAGUUGUGUGCCCGGUCCUCAACGACCAUAGUCUCGAACACGGAAAGUGCGUCCUGUGAAUCGACCAGGGCUCGAGCGCUGGCUACCGUCGAAUACGGAAACAGGCUCGAGCGAAUCGGAAGGCCUCGAGCGCAAGGACGCCGCCCGCCGCCUGACGUGGGCACGGGAACCAGGGCAUUUAAUGUGCCUGCCGCGUUCUUACCUAACCCGCCAGUCACAGGAAGCGUGAUGGGGAACAGGCACCCGUCCCGUCAUUCUUUUUGCAGCCUUCCCCACCAAACAAGCCAGAACGUGGCAGGAUGCAGGGAGUGGGUUGGAACGUCUAAUCAAGACCCCCCUCGAGACGCCCAAGGUCAGCACUCUAGCUAGCAAGGCGUUACACGACAUCCGACCCUCGAGUAGGCAUGUUUCCUUCCUAGGGAAGGGUCGGGCGACGAGUGACAGCACCUCAACCACUCCGACGCAGCUGCUGCCGCGACAUACAAGCGUGCAACAGAUAAACUAGUCCAGGACGGUGCACAGAGCGGGAUACAGGGGCACGCGUAAUCAUCAUCAAAGUACCAAGACAAGAUGGCUCGAGACCACGCCUGUACGGAGGCCUCGAGUAGGUCAGCGCGCCAUACCGCUAUCGACCCCUACUCUGACGCCUAUACAUGUACACUAGGCCCCUCCUUGGAACUAUAAAAGGGGAGGCCCGGGAGCGGAUACAGGGGACACGCGAUACAACACAACACACAUGCUUACUAGAGCUUCCAUACUCCAUCUACAUCCAUCUCACGCCUGUAUUCACCCCUGUACAAGCACUUAGGUGCAAGAUAAUACAAACACCUCUCCCCCCGCUGGACGUAGGGCCUUCUCUUGCCCGAACCAGGAUAAAUCUUUGUGUCAUUUCUUGCAUCACCAUCUGGAAAGGGGAGCACGCAUACAAGUUUUACUCGUUGGUGUGACCCCCCUGGGGAAAACACCGACAGUUGGCGUGCCAGGUAGGGGUCCUGCGUGUUUUUCACCGAUUUCCCAUUCCUUUCCACAUGGCCACUCUCAUUUCGCCGAUUCCGCGCUCCACGGUGAUUUGGUUCGGGAGCCUCGAGUUCAUGUCUACUUGUUCUGGCUAUGACAUGAUCCUGCUCUCUGUCAAAGGACUGGGAGGAGCCCGCGUUGCGCCAGCACGAUUGAGGGCUCCGAGACGUCCUCGCCACCACGCCUCCCCGCCCAAGAAGAGGCGUGGACAGGGCCACCAUCACCCUUCUGCCUCGUCACGACCGACAGUUCGUGCCAGGCAGGAGGUGACACAGGAGCCGACAGCCCCGUGCACCAAAACCGCGGGUAUGGCGGCCCAACGCCACGAGGAUCGCAUGACGACGAUGGGAGAUGGCGCGCGCCGCGCGCUCUCCCCCACCGCUACGCUACUUCCACAUGGGCUGUUCGCCCCAAGAAGAGCGCUGCCGUUUGGUCUAGACAAUGCCGCGGUGUCGCUCGCUAGGGCGAUAUGUCCAAACGCCCAGUCAUACAUGGAGAGACCAAUGGUCCUCCCACGCGAUACUGAAGCGCAGCAACAGACGUCCGAGCUGCCAGAUUUCUCCUAGGUACGAGGCCUCCGUCGCCUAGGGCUUGGGCGAUACACGAUCACCUCACUCAGGCAACGGCUGCUGGAGGAGGGACGUGGAUGCUUCUACGCCGCCGAGCCGGACUCCGGCUCUGAGUCCGACAGCUACGACCCUACUAGGGAAUGCUUCAACAUCGAUGGGGCAGUGGAAACCACCGACGAGACACAGGACGCCAUUGCAGGCGGUCGAGUCCUUGCAGCAAGGGAGGACCCCAGGACGCCUGGGAAUGACGGUCAGGUCGACCCCCCUCUGCAAGAAGACAGAACUGCGCAACUUGCGCAGCUACGAGAACUCAAAGCGAAGCUCGAUGAGGAUUGCGAGCGCCUUGUUCUGCUUGACAGAUCCUCAAGCAAGACCUGCCUUACCCGCUUGGUGGAAGUGUCCGCAGACGGGCUCGAGAGGUACAUCAGCAGAUCGUCGGAGACGGAGAGCCUGAGCAGCCCGUCAGCCGUUUCCCUCGAGCGGGCCAGAACGUCGUGGCGGCGACAAUGCUGCUGCGUAAUAUGCCCGAACCGUCGAACUCCCAAGCGCGACGCAUUCAAGACGAGGUGCAGACUCUGCUCCAGGUGGCAGCAGUUUGUUGAUAUUUGGUAACGCAAUCAGCAAAUGAUCCGCAAGCGCAUGAAUAUCGGUGAGCAUUUCACCCGGGAGGUUUUUUAGAGUAUCAUAUUUAUAUUUUUACCACUGGGAGAAAGGGUGCAUCUGACUAACCAAAUCUAUUGCUACUACCCCUUUAGGCUACAAAGAAUGUUUCUCGAUGUGAGUGAUGUAUAGAGAAGACUGCAACCGUAGUCUCGUUCUAACCUUGGUAAGGAUGAUCUACUGUUCUAUUGGGGAAGCUUACGGAAUCUAGACACCACAAAGGAUGUUCGACCCACACUUAUAAACUCUACCCAUCCUGCUAACAAGAUAUGGGAUACAAAGGUAACUCGGAAAUGUCACGUUCCUCGCUACUACCACGGUCCAGCUAGUCAGGGGAUAUCUAUGAGUACCCUAGCCUAAACACCACGUUUACGCUAGCAAUGAUUACUCUAAUACUCAACCGGAAGAGGAUUAAAGUAAACUCAUAAACCAAAGAACAAUAAAAUAAGAACUUACUGGAAUUAGAAGUCGAAUUACUGAAGAAUCUUAGGAGCAAGCCUCAGGUUAGAAGACUUGAUCCCGCAGGUACAACCUCGGAGUAGACACCGACAGGCCGGCCUUCCUCCGAUCUACACCUCCACUCUAUCUCUCUCAAUCUAGUAGAAACUAAAAGAUCUAUUUCUACUCACAUUGGUUGCUAAGCCUAAAAAGAAAUUUUAUUUAGAGAAGAGGUUUUCCUUCGAGGGCACCCCUCAACUCUAUGAAAAACUUGUCUCCUCCAGGGGCUAGGGGGUCUGCUUAUAUAGUCCUCCUCAUUUGGGCAUUUUUGGGUCAGCAGACGAUGUGGUACUAUGUUAUCCUUGAUCCUUUAGGUCGGUGGGACGUCGUGUGCGAAAAGAGUCCCAAACGGGGUCCAGAGGGGGGCGGGCGCCCAGGUCCUCAAGGCGGGCGCCCUGGGCCUGGCUCCUUUCGGCCUCUGCUUUCUUCCCUGGGCUUCUGGAGUCUUCUAGAUGGUAGAAAAUUGCGCGGUGUGUUGAUAUCUCUAUGUAAUCCCGACGUGUGGGCCUUUCUUCCUUAUUUCCUGAUAACCCCCUGCAGAAAUAGACAAACACCAAAACUCGUGGAAUUCUGUCAGAUAAAACCCUAAGUCUGGGUGUUGGUUGCAUUUGGAUCCUUUUCUUUAUUUAUUUGAUAAUUAUAUUUGGUACUUAAGGACCGUCAACAACUCCCCCAAGCUUACCUCUUGCUCGUUCCUGAGCAAGGAUGAACUCAAGAGUUUCUACAGUGGUUUCAUGCCUUAAAAGUACACACACAUUCAAGCAAGAUCUCAUCUCUGAGUUAGAAUAAACUGUUAAGACUAAAAACUUACUCAUUUUACCUUUCACCAUGGGGCUUGUAACCGCCAUUUGUGUCUUGAGCAGUUAAAAGAUAGAACGGUCAAGUCAAGCGCCAUGUCUCUUAUUCUUGAUCAACUAUAGCUCUGGAGUUUUUGCAGAUUUUCAAAUAAAACUCAGAGAUUCCUUAUAUGAUUCUCUCAAAUCUCUCUUUUGUGGUAUUUCUGGAUCCUUACCAAGGCAGUAAUGGUAUAUGCCUUAUCUCAAAGUAUGUGGUAUUUUUGGUAUAAUGCAUAGUGAUAUUACCUUCUCUCUCACCCUACUCUAAUAAGGUUUUGAUAUCUGGAGCUCAUAGGUGGGAGACAGCUAAUACAUACUUACAAGACAUUUAUUGCAUAGUCAAACCAUAGAUCCAGAGAAACAAGUCAAUAAGUCAAAUCAAGAUGUGCAUGUGUGGCGAAUGAAUGGUGUAUGGUGAUGAUGGUGAUAACAAUGGUUUAAAUCUAAUUCUGCUUUUGCUCUUUUUAGGGGAUACUUACCUUUCUUGCACUUUGAAGCUUUUUGAGGGGAAUGAGAUGCUCUAUAUUUUCUUUUUCUUUCUCUCUCAGGUGGGUAUCUUGUACCCCUAAUUCUACUGUCGGACACUUGUCCAUUUUUACCUCUCGUCUCACUUUUUCUUUUCUUCGAGGUUCCGGGCACUUGCCCCUUUUUAUUUCCUCGUAUAUAUUUCUCUCUCUUUUUUUCUCUUUCUCUUCUCUUUUUUUAGAGCACUCAUCUCCUGAAAUAAUGUAGCAAGUGGUAGUAACCAAAAUAACUGGAGCAUUUAUUUCACAUUGAAUAAUAGGGAUAGGAAAAUGUUUUUGGCUAUUCUCUCUCGGAUUAGGAGUAGAAUAAUUUUGGGUGAAUCUGGAGAUGGAAAUGAGUGGAUGUAUGUGGAUGCGUACUUCCGGAGUAGAAGCAGCAUAUACGAGUGAACGUGCAAGUGAAUCUUGAUUUUAACCACAUGACAAGCUCCUAAGGGUCUACACAGCUUGACCACACUCAAUGCUCAUAAGCAGUAAAAAGUAAAUGUGUGGCUCUGUUGGGUAUUUUAAACGCAAACAGAAAAAUCCGCAAGCACACGGAUACCGAUGUAGCUUUCACCAGGGAGUAUUCCAGAGUAUCGAUUUUCCACAGAGAACGUGAGUGUAGUCAUUAAGAUCCAAGAUCGCCCAAGGAUAACUAUAUAAUUAUUUUUGGUGGGAAGAGAGGAAGUUUCCUGAGAGUUCUCUAGAUGAUCUAAGAAUCAAGAAUUACUUCAAGAUUAUCUAUUUCGGGACAUCAGAACACUAACCACAGAAAGAGAUGAGAAGGGGGCUAGGAAGCUCUGACUACGGUCCUACAAACACCGAUCCGAACCAGGUGGAAUACGUCGACCGUUAGGGCUGUCACUACCCUAAGGCUACCACAACAAUCCGCAGGAUUGGGUGCAAUUCCAGGUAAUCGCAAGACUAAACACCACGUUUAAUCUAUUAAUUACUACUCUAAUGUUUCAAAGACUAGAGCACUUGAUGCAAGCGGGAAUCCAAUAAAUAACUUGAAUGUAAAUAAAAGUAAUUAGAGAACUCAGGAGUUAUGAGUUGAAGAACCUGGAGAACGAUGAAGAACGAACCAGUUGCUGCAAAAGUACAAUGUUGAGGAAGAUCCGACAGAUCCGGCUCCUCCUCCGCUCUCCUCUUCUCUCUCCCUAUUUUAUAGAUUACAACUAGAACUAACUAGAACUAGAACUAGAGGAACUAGAACUAGAACUAGAUGAACUAGAACUAGAUCUAGAUGAACUAGAGGUAGAACUAGAAGAACUAGAGGGAUCCUCUCUACUUGGAUGAAGAAUUGAAACCCUAACUUUGAUUCUGUAGAAGAGGUAUGAUCUCCAGGGGCCAGGGGGGUCUGGUUUUAUAGUCCCUUCAAGUGAAUCUGGGCCGUCGGAUCAAACCGAUAUUGAUCGCACGGUUUUCCUUGAUCCUUUAGGUCGGUGGAGCUUGGUCCGCAAAGUUGGACGUGUUUGACCACAACUCCUGGGCGGGCGCCCAAGGGGGGUGGGCGGGCGCCCUGCCCCCGGGCCUGUUCGCCUUCCCGUUCGUUCCCGUGGCUUCUGGAGUCUUCUAGAUGACGUAAAAUUGCGUGGCACGUUAAUAUCUCUGUGUCAACCCGACGUGUGGGCCUUUCUUCUGUAUGUCCUGAUAACCCCCUGCAGAAAUAGACAAACACCAAAACUUGUGUAAUUCUGUCAGAUAAAACCCUAAGUCUAGAUGUUGGUAGCAUUUGGAUCCUUUUCCAUGAUUAGUUGACGAUUAAAUGUGAGCAUUAAGGACCGUCAACAAGCUCCCCCAAGCUUAACCUUUGCUCGUCCCUGAGCAAAGAUGAACUCAAGAGUUUCUGCAGUGGUUUCAUAACUUAAAGAUACACAUGCAUUUAAACAAGAUCUCAUCUCUGGUUAGAGUAAACUAUUAAGACUUAAAACUUACUCAUUUACCUUUCACCAUGGGACUUGUAACCGUCACUUCUGUCUUGAGUAGUUAAAUGAUAGAACGGUCUAGUCAAGCACCAUGUCUCUUAUUCUUGAUCAGCUAUAGCUCUGGAGUUUUUGCAGAUUUUCAAAUAAAACUCAGAGAUUCCUUGUAUGACUCUCUCUAGUCUCUCUUUUGUGGUAUUUCUGGAUCCUUACCAAGGCAUUAAUGGUGUAUGCCUUCUCUCAAAGUAUGUGGUAUUUUUGGUAUGAGGCAUAGUGACAUUGCCUUCUCUCUCACCCUACUCUAAUAAGGCUUUUGAUAUCUGGAGCUCAUAGGUGGGAGAUAGCUAAUACAUACUUACAAGACAUUUAUUGCAUAGUCAAACCAUGGAUCCAGAAGAUCAAGUCAAUAAGUCAAAUCAAGAUGUGCAUGUGUGGCGAAUGAAUGGUGUAUGGUGAUGAUGGUGAUAACAAUGGUGAAAGCCUAAUUCUACUUAUGCUCUUUUGAGGGGAUACAUACCUUUCUUGCUCUUUUGAAACUUUUUGAGGAGAAUGAGAUGCUCUAUAUUUUCUUUUUCUUUUCUCUCAGGUGGGUAUCUUGUACCCCUAAUUCUACUGUCGGACACUUGUCCAUUUUUACCUCUUGUCUCACUUUUUUUUUCUUUUCUUUCGAGGUUCCGGGCACUUGCCCCUUUUUAUUUCCUCGUAUUUAUUUUUUUUCUCUCUCUUUUUUUUAUAUUAGAGCACUCAUCUCCUGAAAUAAUAUAGCAAGUGGUAGUAACCAAGAUAACUUGAGCAUUUAUUUCACAGGGGAAAAACAGAAAUGUUUUUGGCUAUUCUCUCCCGGAUUAGGAGUAGAAUAUUUUUAGGUGGCUCUGGAGAUGGAAAUGGAUGGAUAUAUGUGGAUGGUACUUCUGGAGUAGAAGUAGCAUGUGUGAGUGAACGUGCAAGUGAAUCUUGAUUUAACCACAUGACAAGCUCCUAAGGGUCUACACAGCUUGACCACACUCAAUGCUCAUAAGCAGUAAAAAGUAAAUGUGUGGUUCAUAGUCUAACAAGCAUGUAUAUAUGGCUGUGGUAGGAAUUUAAAAUCUCAUCAUACAGGAACUCAUCAUGCAACAUUUUAAAGAUUUUCAAAGAUAAAAUUCUCCAGAAUUCUAGCAUCUCUAGGAACAGAUAAACAGCAGCUCAACCUUCCCAUAUCGUAUCCGUUAACGACUUAGACUUUAGAUCAAGUACUCUCCCCACAAGUUCAGGUUUAGAGCAAAUCUUAAUUAAUAACAGUCAUGCCUAAACUUAAGAGAGAUUUCAAUUUUUAGAACUAGUCAUGGCAGAGCAACUAUUCAUCAUUUCCAUGUGAAAGCUUAUCAUGAGGGUUCAUAGCAAAUUUUAUUUAUUUAUUUAUUUAGCAAACUAAGCAAAGAUAUAUAUAUAAGCACAAAAUCUUUAUUUGGGUUUUUAUGAUUAUGCAUCUUUUUAUUAUUUGAGUAAAAUAUAAACGUGAGUAGAAUACUUAGGUGGAUAAAUGGAGGUGCUCUCCCCCAAGCUGGAUUUUGACGUAAUUCCUUUUGAUGUAGCAGGUUGCGGAGGUGUAUUUGAAUGUCGGCAGCACCCUGAUAUUGAUUAGGAUGUCCUCCGUCUACUAGUCUUCUUUGAUCCUUUAAUUCUGUGGAGCUCAAAUAGACAACAAAGCUUUGUGGAACUAGUUAAGUGUUAGCAUAAAUAUCUAGCCUUUAUCAUGUUGAGCCUCCUCAAUAAAUGUUACUCUCUUUAGUAGGAUCAUAUUUUCAUUUUUAUAGGACAGGAAUAUAUAUAUUUAUUUUUACGCCACCACAGUGAAUGUACUUAUGGGUUUUAUGCCAUGAGCAUACUCACAUGGGGCUUACUUAACAUUUUUAUUUUCUUUUCAAGAUGAUAUGAACCUGAUUAACUAAAAUAAUUGAAAGGAAAAAGAUAACUACCAAGUUUACCUCUUGGCAAGGCGUUCGGUGUUUUUACGUCCUCCGAACGGGACUCUCCGUUUUCUCAAUCAUCCUGGAAUUCGCUGGAUAGCGUAGUCGGUGGUUCUGGCGGUGCCUGCUCUUCGUGUAUAACUAUCUUCUCUCUCCACACAUGACUCGGUGCUACGGUCUCCUCAGGACAGUUCCGUUCAAGUUGUAUGUCUUUAGACCUUACAACUUCUCCUUCAUAGUCUACCCAUCCGUCCUUGAUGAUUUUGCCUUCUCUUGUUACGGUUGCGUCGUCUUCUUCUUGUCCUAACCUGCUUAGAGUCUUCAAUUAUAUAGUUAGGGUCAGUAAAAUAGUGGCGUACCUUCUCAGAGGUGAAGUGCAUGUGGACUUCUCUGGUUCCAAUGUAUAUGAUUGCUUUAAUGGUGCUAAAGAACGGUCUUCCAAGGAUGAUGGGUGGAUCGUAAUCGUCUUCUCCCAUGUCAAUAACCUUCAAUCUUUCAGAAUGUCUGAUCUGCCAUCUGAAGCUGAAUGUAUGUCAGUUUUAGGGGCAUGGUUCCGAAUAGGAGCUGAGAGGUGACUGGCGGCCAUUAUGUCGACGCCUGACCCGGUGUCGCAAAGCAUCUUCUGGAAGUUGUAUCCAUCAAUGGAGCACUGGAUGCUUGGCAUACUUGGGUCGUCCUUUUUGGUUAGGAACGGUGACUUAAGUCGACGAUCUUAACCUCCUUGAACUGCAGUGACCAUCUUUGCUGACUUGGUCCACAUUUGCUUGUUCCUGUUCCUCCUGUUGGUCCUCUUCCUUGUUUCAUGUCGGGAUUGCUCUGAGAUUUGUGUAGUCUUGUUCUUGAAGGAAAAUGUCUCAUUUCUCCCUUUGAUCUAGAAACUGAACUUGGCAGCACUCGCGUAGAUGAUAGCUCCCGAGGUGUUCAGGAAUGGCCUCCCUAGGAUGAUGGGUGCCCUCUCAUCAGUACCAGUCUCUAUCACCACGAAGUCUGCUGGGGCGUACAAGGUACCAACUCGUAUACAGAGGUUCUUCAAUAUUCCUUUUGGGAAACUUAGUGUACAGUCUGCAAGCUGCAAACCCAUGGUUGUUUCUGAUAAAUGAUGUGUAAAGAAUUUUUCUUAGAGUACCCUGGGCAUAAUGUUGACGCUGGAGCCAAAGUCGCAGAGUGCUUCCGGGAAGUCCACCAUGCCGAUGGAGAUCGGGAUGACGGGACGUCCUGGAUUGUAUCUCUUAACCGACAGAAGGUCAGUAAUUACUUCCACAACAGGGUUACUCCAGUAGUUACAUCCUCAAGCAUCUCAGGGCAGUGAUUGCCUGAGUGUCCAGUAUCUCCAGUGUGUUUGUGCUCGUAGAUCUAGGUUCUUCACUUGGUGGAGUCUGGGAGUUAUAAAAGUCCUUCAUAUUUUGCUCGAAGUGUACCUGCUCAUAGAGACAAGGCCGAGAUCAAGUGCAUGGGCUCUGUUGGUGGAAAACACCAACAGAACCAAAAGUGUAUUUGUUCUCUCUAACCUUAAGCAUAGUGAGCAAGACAAAGUUGAUGGAUAAUAAGAUCAUGAGUGUAGCAUUUAACAUUUGUCAGAUUAGAUUGCUCAACCUUAUGGAAAGAUAAUCUAUCUAUAUGUUUUGUUUAUAUCUUCCAAAGAUUGAGUGUGCAACAUUUUAGCUUAUACGAUUAGGAGUGUGGAAUCACAAAGGUGGAAGGACUAAACAUGUUGAAUCGAUUGGGUUGGUUAAUCUAGAGUUGUAGAUCAUACAUGUUUGUCUCUUUUAUUCAUGUGAAUGCCAGAACCAAGAAAAAGCUUAUAGAAGUGAUAGUCAAGUACCUUAAGAUGUUACCUUACUUGAAGAGUGAUGGUACAGUAUUACCUUGUGGAAGCUUUCCUUUCUUAGUGGUAGUGCAUCGUGUUUGUGGCACCGUCCAUGGAUCAUCUCUUGUGAGCUAUGCCUUCCUUGUGUAGAUUGUUAAACUUCAUGUGUCUCUCUCAUUGUCUCCAAUGUGAGUUUGUCUCAGGACUUCCCAGGUCGAUAUUGAAUGUUUUCCUGCAGGGGUUAGUCCAACAAAAUAUACCAAUGUCUACACAAGCGGUUUUUAGUUCAAUAACCAAACUAGACUCCAUGUCUAAUUAGAUUAAGGAAGGCUGUUUAACCUAAGCACCAUGCUUAAUUUAAAAACCAAUAGAAGUAUGUACAGUACUUCCAAACUAACACUUACUAGGAUAAACAAAGGUAGCGUGAUGGCUUUUAUAGAGAUCUACUCAAGUGGAGAUGAAGUAGUGUGAUUACUAUUUAACAAAUUGAGCAUGUCUCAGGGUAGGGAUAACCAACAUAGCAACAUGGCAAAUGAUGUUUUUGUAUAAAGUACUCCCCCAAGCUUGAAUUUUGCAAAAUCAAGUUUGGAUGAAUUUAAUUCAAUGUUGUAUGAUGAUUGGUUGGACAUACCUUGUGCUUGUCAUUCAUCCGAUCUUCUUGCUCCAAUCCUGGAAAGGUUAGUGACAAGAAUACCCGAAGGAAUUUUUUUACAAUUAUCCUUAUAUGCUCAAUACACAAGUUAAUGUUGCAAAUAAUUAAAAGCUCAUGUUACAAUCUGAUCAGUGCUUGUUUUAGGACACUAAGCUUGUCCUUGGGAAACCAUCAAUUUAUGUCAGCGAAGUGGUUUCCCCUCUAACGCUGACCUAUAUCAAGAUCAACUCAACGAGAUCUACAAAAUUUAUUAUAGACAUAUGCAUCGACAACCGCCCUUUUAAAGUUUUUAUAAAUAGAAAGGAUGUGGGGGAUGGAGAUCUCGAAUGUGGUGAUGUUGGAGAGACCAAUGGAUUGUGAAGAUGUUGCAUAUGAGCAUGGAGUAAAUGAAGUGGCUAUGAAAUAAAUUCCAUGCUCAUUAAUGCUUAGAGUGAAAUCCAUGUGGUAUGGUGAAAAUGGUAAGGUGAGUGUGGUAGAAAAAGAAAAAGGAUACACGGACGACUUGGUUCGAAACUAGCACAGCUACCGUUCCCCGGCAACGGCGCCAGAAAGCUUGUUGGGUAUUUUAAACGCAAACAGAAAAAUCCGCAAGCGCACGGAUACCGAUGUAGCUUUCACCCGGGAGUAUUCCAAAGUAUCGAUUUUCCACAGAGAACGUGAGUGUACUAAUUAAGAUCCAAGAUCGCCCAAGGAUAACUAUAUAAUUAUUUUUGGUGGGAAGAGAGGAAGUUUCCUGAGAGUUCUCUAGAUGAUCUAAGAAUCAAGAAUUACUUCAAGAUUAUCUAUUUCGGGACAUCAGAACACUAACCACAGAAAGAGAUGAGAAGGGGGCUAGGAAGCUCCGACUACGGUCCUACAAACACCGAUCCGAACCAGGUGGAAUACGUCGACCGUUAGGGCUGUCACUACCCUAAGGCUACCACAACAAUCCGCAGGAUUGGGUGCAAUUCCAGGUAAUCGCAAGACUAAACACCACGUUUAAUCUAUUAAUUACUACUCUAAUGUUUCAAAGACUAGAGCACUUGAUGCAAGCGGGAAUCCAAUAAAUAACUUGAAUGUAAAUAAAAGUAAUUAGAGAACUCAGGAGUUAUGAGUUGAAGAACCUGGAGAACGAUGAAGAACGAACCAGUUGCUGCAAAAGUACAAUGUUGAGGAAGAUCCGACAGAUCCGGCUCCUCCUCCGCUCUCCUCUUCUCUCUCCCUAUUUUGUAGAUUAGAACUAGAACUAACUAGAACUAGAACUAGAGGAACUAGAACUAGAACUAGAUGAACUAGAACUAGAUCUAGAUGAACUAGAGGUAGAACUAGAAGAACUAGAGGGAUCCUCUCUACUUGGAUGAAGAAUUGAAACCCUAACUUUGAUUUUGUAGAAGAGGUAUGAUCUCCAGGGUCCAGGGGGGUCUGGUUUUAUAGUCCCUUCAAGUGAAUCUGGGCCGUCGGAUCAAACCGACAUUGAUCGCACGGUUUUCCUUGAUCCUUUAGGUCGGUGGAGCUUGGUCCGCAAAGUUGGACGUGUUUGACCACAAAUCCUGGGCGAGCGCCCAAGGGGGGUGGGCGGGCGCCCUGCCCCCGGGCCCGUUCGCCUUCCCGUUCGUUCCCGUGGCUUCUGGAGUCUUCUAGAUGACGUAAAAUUGCGCGGCACGUUAAUAUCUCUAUGUCAACCCGACGUGUGGGCCUUUCUUCUGUAUUUCCUGAUAACCCCCUGCAGAAAUAGACAAACACCAAAACUUGUGUAAUUCUAUCAGAUAAAACCCUAAGUCUAGAUGUUGGUAGCAUUUGGAUCCUUUUCUAUGAUUAGUUGACGAUUAAAUGUGAGCAUUAAGGACCGUCAACAGGCUCAAAGUCUAAUAAGCAUGUAUAUAUGGCUGAGGUAGGAUUUUAAACUCUCAUCAUACAGGAACUCAUUAUGUGAUAUUUUAAAGAUUUUUCAAAGAUAAAAUUCUCCAGAAUUCUAGCAUCUCUAGGAACAGAUAAACAGCAGCUCAACCUUCCCAUAUCAUAUCCGUUAACAACUUAGACUUUAGAUCAAGUACUCUUCCCACAAGUUCAGGUUUAGAGCAAAUCUUACUUCAUAACAGUCAUGCCUAAACUUGAGAGAGAUUUUAAUUUUAAGAACUAGUCAUGGCAGAGCAACUAUUCAUCAUUUCCAUGUGAGAGUUUAUCAUG
rnacentral:lncRNA from 1 species